rnacentral:lncRNA from 1 species
UCAUUAAGCUCGUUUAUAUUAACGAUCUAAAAUUGAUGUUCAGCUCGGCUCAUUAACUAACGAGCACGAGCCUUAACAAGUCGAGUUUUCGAGCGCUCACUAAACUCACGAGUAACGAGCUUUUCGUCCAGCCCUAGCCACAUGGUGACCACGUGUAGAGCACGUCAAAAUCGUGCCCUAUGCACCAGAGCCGUCGGCAGCUCCUUCCAGAGAGCUCUGGCUUGUCUCGGAGCACCGGAGAGCUCCCUAUCGUGCGCGUGAACCCUCCAGAUCCAUCUCCCCCUUGUUUUCUUGCCGCGAACGGCCGUGCCGACUACCAGAUCGCCGCUACGACGGUGAGCUUCUCGGAGCUCCGUUCCCCGUCGAGGAGCUUCUUCCCGCGGCUAUAUAAGGAGCGUGUCCGAGCCCCUCCCCUCACCAACAAGCCUCUCUAGCCCCCAUCGAGCCCUAGCCCUCUGUCUCGAACUCGUGGAGCUCUUCCCUCCUCUCGCAGCCGAGCUCUGCCGCCGCCCGUUCCCCUCGGGCCAACCCAGCCCCGACCCUUCCCCUCCUCUCAAUCCUCGCCCUAGGCCUCCCCUAGAGCUCACGAAAUCUCCACCGUCUUUAGUUACUCCGGGGGAGCGCUGCCGGAGUAGCUCCCCCAGUGGCCGUGGCCACCGCCCAUGCCAGUUGUAGUUGCCCCUUUCCCGUGGGACCCCGAGUCCAUGGCGACCAUCGCUGAGCGGGAGACGGAUCCGUGAAACCGCCCAGCUCGCCGACGGGUGCAGCCGAGUGGGGGAACAUCGGCAUCGAGCGUGGCCGAACGGCCAUGGUGCCUCUUCUGUUCUUAUCGCGUCUGGAGGAAGGAGACCAGGGGUGGAGGGAGAGAAGAUAAGGCGGGCCCCACCUGGUGAAAAGUCAACCUUCGCCCACUGUCAGGUUAAGUGGAAGAGUAUUUUGUAAAGUACUCUCUCGGUUAACCGAAAGCGUAUUUCUGAAAGUAUGCCUUCUGUUUUAGCCCAGCCGGCCGAACCCUUUAUAUUGCAAACAUUCAUUAGUUAAGAGCAUAAAUGGAUAAGUUUUUAUUUGAUUUCUACCUAACGAAUGAACAUCCAUAUCUUCGCGACCGUAACCCCGAUUGAGGUAAAACCAACGCCCACUCCUUCGUAUUUUCGAGUCGGUCAUGUUGGUAUCAUUUCCAUAAUGUUUUCACACAGUGAAAAUUGACCAUUUUGCCCUUGACCUCCGAUUGAGCCCUCCGAGAAGGAAAGUUCUCUCGCAAAUCUUUCCAGCAUUUUAUCGCGCUUCUUCCCGGCGUAUCCAUCGACCCCAAGGCAAGCCAACCUCUCAUCAUGAGCUGUGGACUUGUGUGAUGAUUUUGCUAUGAUUUUGCUUGCACCCUGUGUGGUCAUCGUAGGACAUUUAGAUCAUCUGUUUGUCCGCACUUGCAUGCACCUCUUAUGACAUAGUACUAGAUACUAGCAUUACUUUUUAUCUAAUGUCGUGCCUUGUUUUCAUAUUACCAUACUAAUAAUAAUAUUGUUAAUAACAUUGACAUGUUAUUGCUAUGGUUUGAUCCCAUGCCAUGAUUGUCAGCACUAUGAUUUUGCCAUGCUCAUGUUUAGCACUUAUACUUGUGGAGGUAAUGGAUGGAUAGGUUGAGUUGAGUUAACAAAUGCAACCCAGUUGGUUGAUCUUGAGUCACCUGUCUGGGCUUACGUGUGCAACCACAUUUACCGGUAUGGGACGACCUUGACUUGGUCUGGUUGUGUGCUCUUGCACCAGUACCUCCAAAGAGGGAGGGUUAUGCGUGUGCGCUACCCUGAUCAGGUAGGCGGCGAUAACCCUACGAGCUAGUUGAGUUACGUGGGUACGCCCUACGAGCUAGUUGAGUUAUGUGGGUACCCGUUCCCAUUUGGGACAGUUUAAUUUGGCCAGGACGGUGGCAGGUGUCCUAAGGACACAGGGGCCACCCAAGGCAGGACUCCGGGGGAUGAUGAUUGUCGAUGGUACGAUGGGAGAGUCAGGGGUCAGACAGGUUUUGUUGGAGCAACGCUAGUCCACCCGAAUGGGAUCACGAGGCUAGGUGCUCCAUAGUGUGGGUAAAAAGUGCUCAACCUCUGUAGAGUGUAAAAUCUAUUCGAAUAGCCGCGUCCACGGUAUUAGACAGCCCGUCCAGACCUCACUAGGUGGUUAACCGUAUCAUUGUUAGUAAUCAUGGAAGAACUCAUCUUGUAUGUACAUCAUAGGAUGUUGGGAAUAUGACAUGUUAGCCAAGAAAUGGCUAUAUCAUGAGUUGUAGGAUGACCAUAUGAUUUGGAUGCUAUUUGGAUCCAUUUAAGUUGGAUCACGAGUAUAUCGAGGGUUGUGGGACAACUCAGAAGAGAGUAAGUUGACAUUCGGUAACAGUAAGUACUUCAAGUACCUACUAUGACCAUUUCCAUGCUAUGUAUGUUAGAUGCUUAAUCCAUGUUAUGUUAUGCCUUAUCCCUGUUUUUCUGUUAAUUCCAUGUCAUGCUUAGAAUACUUAUUAUAUAAGUAUAGGGCUAGUUUUGUCAUCUUCUUAUUUGGAUGCUAUGUAUUUGGUUGUCUUGCGAGUACAUUCAAAGUACUCACCUAGCCUUGCACGUGGCGAGUUGUAGGAGAAGGUCCGUCGUGCUAGAACGUAAUCUAGCCAGUCCUAUGAGUUAUGAAGCCCAGCCAAAGCUGUCAUUGUUGCCGAACCAAGACCUCUGCUGCCAUUUAGUGAGCCUUGGAGCUAUGUAAUAUUGUUGUAAUCAACAGUAUUGUAAUACUCCAAUAUAAUCAAUAAAGCCAUUUUCUGCCUGGAAUUGUUGUAUCAUGUCUUUCACGUGCGCCAGGUCUUAUCUUGUGGCUGGCGUGCGUCGACCCUCUAUCGGGGUGCCACACUUGCACUAUUCAUCCCCUCUACUCUAUCGUUGUCGAUUACUCUUUUGUGGUGAAUGCUAUUGAGUUUCGUUGGAGGAUUAUUGUUAUGACCAGAUUGUUCAUCAUAUCUUCAUCACAUCUGAUCAUGAUCUCUUUUAUGUCUUGUGAGUAGUUCCUUUAGUUCUUGAGGGCAUGGGAGAAGUCUAGUUGCUAGUAGCCAUAUGAUGUUCAAGUAAUAUGUGUUGAUUGAUAUUUACGUUGUGGUGUUAUUGUUCUAGUGGUGUUAUGUGAACGUCAACUACAUAAUACUUUGUCUUUUUAAGGACCUAGGGGGAUUCAUUGUGUAUAAAGAAUUCUUAUGGUGGGUUGCCGGAUGAACAGAAACCUGAACCCCAGUUCGCAUACUUUUGCAUGAGGGAGUGUUGGAUCCUAAAGCUUAUAGCUAUGGUUAGGAUUUUCCUUAAUUUCUCUCUUGUACUUGCGACUGCUUGCAAGGGGAUUAAUCAUAAGAGAGCACUUGUCUUAGCCUAGACGGUGCACUAUCAAAGAUCCACCCACAUAUCACUUAUUGCUACGGCGACAGAAAUCCUUCUGUCGUCUCUUGAGCUUGCGUUGGUUUUUUCCUUGAAGAGGAAAGGACGAUGCAGCACAGGAGCAGUAAGUAUUUCCCUCGGUUUGAGAACCAAAGUAUCAAUCCAGUAGGAGAAUCGCGCUAACUCCAGAGUACCUGCGCAAACACAAAAGAGCUUGCACCCAACCCUAUAAAGGGGUUGUCAAUCCCUUCAAGAUUGAUUACAAAGUGAGAUCUCAAGGCGGAAAGUGCAACGAAGUAAAAUUGUAAGGCUGAAAAUAUGUUGUGAAGUAGACCCGGGGGCCAUAGUGUUCACUAGAGGCUUCUCUCAAAAUAGCAAAUAAUACGGUGGGUGAACAAAUUACUGUCGAGCAAUUGAUAGAACAGCGCAAAGUCAUGACGAUAUCUAAGGCAAUGAUCAUACAUAUAGGCAUCACGUCCGAGACAAGUAGACCGAUACUUUUUGCAUCUACUACUAUUACUCCACACAUUGAUCGCUAUCCAGCAUGCAUCUAGUGUGUUGAGUUCAUGACGAACAGAGUAACGCUUUAAGCAAGAUGAAAUGAUGUAGAGGGAUAAACUCAACCUAUGAUGAAAACCCCAUCUUUAUACCCUUGAUGGCAACAACACGAUGCGUGCCUCGCUAGCCCUUCUGUCACUGGGUGAGGUCACCGCACGAUAUGAACCCAAAACCAAGCACUUCUCCCAUUGCAAGAAUCGUAGAUCAAGUUGGCCAAACAAAACCCACAACUCGAAGAGAAUUAUAAGGAUAUGAAAUCAUGCAUAUAAGAGAUCAGAAGAAACUCAAAUAAGAUUCAUAGAUAAUCUGAUCAUAAAUCCACAAUUCAUCGGAUCUCGACAAACACACCGCAAAAGAAGAUUACAUCGGAUAGACCUCCGUGAAGAUCAUGGAGAACUUUGUAUUGAAGAGCCAAGAGAGAGAAGAAGCCAUCUAGCUACUAGCUAUGGACCCGAAGGUCCAUGGUGAACUACUCACGCAUCAUCGGAGAGGUCAUGAUGUUGAUGAAGAAGCCCUUUGUAUCCGAAUCCCCUCCAAUAGGGCACCAGAACGUGCUUCAGAUGGGAUCUUGCGAAGACAGAAGCUUGCGGCAACGGAAAAGUAUUUUCAUUGAUCUCCUCGGCAGCAUUGGAAUUUUUCUGGAUUUAUAGGCGAAAGAGGUAGGGCAGACAUGCCACAGGGGGCCCACAAGCCUGCUAGGCGCGGGCCCCCUGGCCGUGCCUAGAGGGCUUGUGGGGUCCCCUACUCGCCCUGCCUUGGUUCUCAAGUCUGGUGCGUAUCUUCUGUUCCGGAAAAAAAAUCUUUUCGGAAGUUUUAUUCUGUUUGGACACCGUUUAAAAUCCUCCUCUGAAAAGGGUCAAAAACACGGGAAAGACAGGAACUAACACUUGGCACUGAGUUAAUAAGUUAGUCUGAAAAAAGAUAUAAAAGGCAUACAAAACAUCCAAAGUUUGACAAGAUAAUAGCAUGGAACCAUAAAAAAUUAUAGAUACGUUGAAGACGUAUCAAGCAUCCCCAAGCUUAACUCCUGCUCGUCCUCGAGUAGGGAAGUGAUAAAGACUGAAUUUUUGAUGUGGAAUGCUACCUAGCAUAGUUGUCCUCUGUAACUUCUUUCAUGUGACAUAAAUGUUCAGAUUCGUAAGAUUCAAAACAAUAGUUUGCUAUUGACAUGAAAACAAUAAUACUUCAAGCAAACUAGCAAGGUAAUUAUGAACUUUCGAAAUAACAAGGUCAAAGAAAGUUAUCCCUACAAAAUCAUAUAGUCUGGCUAUGCUCCAUCAUCCCCACACAACUAAUUUAAAUCAUGCACAACUCCGGUAUUGGCCAAGUAAUUGUUUUCGCACUCUUACUUUCUCAAACCUUUUUCAACUCUCACGCAAUACAUGAGCAUGAGCCAUGGAUAUAACACUAUAGGUGGAAUAGAGUGUGGUGGUGGUUGUGAGACAAAAAGGAGGAGAUGGUCACAUUGACUCGGCAUAUUAAAGGGCUAUGGAGAUGCCCAUUAAUAGAUAUCAAUGUGAAUGAGUAGGGAUUUCCAUACAAAGGAUGCACUAGACCUAUAAGUAUGGGAAAGCUUAAAAGGAGAACUAGUGGGUGUGCAUCCAACUUGCUUGCUCACGAAGACCUAGGGCAAUUUGAAGAAGCCCAUCCUUGGAAUAUACAAGCCAAGUUAUAUAAUAAAGAUUCCCACAAUCAUAUGGUGGUGACAAAACGAGAGGCUCUCAAUCAUGAAGAACAUGGUGCUAUCAUGAAGCACAAGUGUGGAAAAAGAUAGUAGCAUUGUCCCUUCUCUCUUUUUCUCUCUUUUUUAUUUGGUCUCUUUAGCCUCUCUUUUUUAUGUGGGCAACUUUGGCCUCUUUUUUUUAUUUCCUCACAUGGGACAAUGCUCUAAUAAUGAUGAUCAUCACACUUUUAUUUACUCACAGCUUAAAGCUUAGAACGAUGAUGACUCUAUAGGAAAUGCCUUUGAAAGUGUACCGGGAUGUGCAACGAUCUAGCUUGGCGUAUGACGUUGAAACAUCUCGCUAGCUAUCUUACGAUCAUGCAAUGGCAAUAUGAGAGUGACGACACAAAUCAUGAGACGGAACGGUGGGAGUUGCAUGGCAAUAUAUCGGAAUGGCUAUGAGAGUGCCAUAGUAGGUAGGUAUGGUGGCUGUUUUGAGGAAGGCAUAUGGUGGGUUUGUGCACCGGCGAGAAUUGCGCGGUACUAGAGAGUCUAGCAAUGGUGGAAGGUGAAAGUGCAUCUAUAUCGUGGACUCACAUUAGUCAUGAAGAACUCACAUACUUGUUGUGAAAGUUUUUAUUAGUAAUCGAUACAAAGUGCUAAACGCAUACUCCUAGGGGAAGGGUUGGUAGGUGUUAACCACCGCGCGAUCCCGAACGCAACACAAAUGAUGACAAUCAAUAGAUCAAUUAUGCUCCGACUUCCUAACAUAGUGGUUCACCAUACGUGCAUGUUACGGGAAUCACUAACUUCAACACAAGUAUUUCUAGAUUCACAACACCAAACUAACAUAACUCUUAAUAUUACGGAAUCCACGUCUCAAAACUAAUUGAGAGGACUCAAAACUUCUCUUUCUACUCAAUGCACAUGAAUAUGGAAGUUUUUUGUAUCCUCUUUGGGACUACUUUCAUAGCACAAGUCAACUACCAAGUCACGCACCGCCGUGCUUUAAAAGAUCUAAGUGAAGCACAUAGAGCAAAAUGGUCUAGCUCAAAAGAUAUAAGUGAAGCAUGAUGAGCAUUCCAGCAAAUUCACAAUGAGUGCAUGUCUCUAUCAAAAGGUGUGCAGAAAGGAUGAUUGUGACACAACAAAAAUAAAAUACUCCUACGAUACAAGACGCUCCAAGCAAGACACAUAUCACGUGGUGAAUAAAAAUAUCGCUUCAAGUAAUGUUACCGAUGAAUUGAAGACGAAAGAGGGGAUGCCUUCCCGGGGCAUCCCCAAGCUUAAUCUUUUUGGUGUCCUUGAAUUUGGCUUGGGGUGCCUUGGGCAUCCCCAAGCUUGAACUGUUUUCACUCUUUAUCCCUUUGUCCAUUAAAACAUCACCCAAAACUUGAAAACUUUACAACACGAAACUUAACCAGAAACUCGCGAUAUCAUUAGCACAAGAAAACAAACUACCACCUCUUUAGGUACUGUAGCAAACUUUAUUUCUAUUUAUAUUGGUGUUAGAUUACUGUAUUCUCACUUUUCCAUUUCUAGUACGCCGAUACUAUCCAUAGUUUCAUCAAAACAAGCAACCAAUUCAACAAAAACAGAAUAUGUCAAAAACAGACCAGUCUGUAGCAAUCUGUAUACUUCGUAUACUUCUUGUACCUCAAAAAUUAUGAGAAAUUACGACUGUAUGAGAAAACGGUAUAUCAACCAGCAGCAAAAAGAAUCAACUCAAAAUAUCUCUCUGAAUAAAAAUGAAAAAUAAUGUCGUGAGCGAAAAGUUUCUAUCUUUUUUCAGGAGAAUCAAACAACCAUCACCAAGACUAGUCAUAAAGGUUUUGCUUGGCUCAAAUACAAAAAGAAACACAAAAGACACAAUCAUAACAGAAUUAUGAUGGUGUGGACGCAACAAAACAGAAAGAAAAAGAUAAAUUCAUUGUGUUGCCUCCUAACAAGCACUAUUGUUUAACGCCCUUAGCUAGGCAUAAGGUGAUAGAAUCACGUAUCGUCGUCUAUUGUGCUCAAACCAUAAGUAUAGCCCUCAUCAUAGAUUCAUAAGGCAAUCUUAUUUUCUUUCUAGGAAAAUGCUCCAUGCCCUUCUUUAAAGUAAAUUGAAAUCUAAUAUUCCCUUCCUUCAUAUCGAUGAUAGCACCGAUAGUCCUUAGGAAAGGUCUACCAAGAAUGAUAGGGCAUGUAGGAUUGCAAUCAAUGUCAAGCACAAUGAAAUCCAUGGGUACAUAGUUCCUAUUUGCAAUAAUAAGAACAUCAUUGAUCCUUCCCAUGGGUUUCUUGACAUUAGAAUCCGCAAUAUGCAAAUUAAGAGAACACUCCUCAAUCUCAUUAAAACCCAGAACAUCACAUAAAGACUUUGGAAUCGCAGAAACACUAGCACCCAAAUCACACAAAGCAUUGCAUUCAUAGUUUUUGAUUUUGAUAGUAGGUUCCCACUCAUCAUGAAGCUUUCUAGGGAUAGAAACCUCCAAUUCAAGUUUCUCUUCAAGAGAUUUUAUCAUGGCAUCGACGAUAUGAUCGGUAAGGCCUUGUUCUGGCUAUAAGCAUGUGGAGAGUUUAGCAUGGAUUGCAUCAAGGAAAUGCAUUCAAUCAAGGAGCAACUAUCAUAAUUGAUUUCCUUGAAAUCCAAAGUAGUAGUUUCAUUACUACUCAAGGUUUUAAUAUCUCCUACUCCACUUUUAAUGCUUUUAGCAUCAACAUAGAUGGACUCCGAAUCAUUAGGGCGUUUUUCAACCAAAGUGGAUUCAUAUCCAGCCCCAUCAUCAUUAGGUUUGACACAAGAAAAAAAAGAUUCAAUGGGAUUUACAACAAGCACUUUACAAUCUUCGUGAUUCUUAUCACGAGAACACGCCCUUUUAAGCCAUUCAUUUCUAGCACGAAUUUGGGCGGUUCUUUCUUUGCUCUCACUCAUGGAAACACGCAUAGCUUUCAAAGUUUCAUCCAUAUUGAUCUUGGGAGGAGCACAUCUAACUUUCAAAGCAUCAAUAUCACUAGACAUUCUAUCAACGCUCCUAGCCAAAUCGUCAAUCUUGAGUAGUUUUUCCUCUAUGGACACAUUGAAAAUCUUUUGCGAGUUGAUAAACUCUUUGAUAUUACUCUCUAGAUGAGAGGGUAAUCAAUUGUAAUUUCCACGAGUAUUGUUGUAGGAGUUUCCAAAGUUAUUAGAGGGGUUACUAGGAAAAGGCCUAGGAAAAUAGUUUCCUCUAAAAGCAUUGUUGUUGCCAAAAUUAUUCCUACCAACAAAAUUAACGUCCAAGCUAGCGUUGCUACUCUCAAUUAAGGAAGACAAGGGCAUAUCAUUAGGAUCUAAAGGAGCGCUUCUACUAGCAACCAAAUUAAUUAACUCAUCCAUCUUAACACUCAACAAGUUAAUUUCUUCUAUAGCGUGUACCUUCUUACUAGUAGGUGACCUUUCAGUAUGCCACUGAGAGUAGUUCAUCAUGAUAUUGUCUAGGAGUUUUGUGGCUUCUCCUAACGUGAUUUACAUGAACGUUCCACCUAAGGCAGAGUCCAAGAUAUUUCUAGAAGCGAAAUUCAAGCCAGCGUAAAGGAUUUGUAUAAUCAUCCAAAGACUCAAGCCAUGAGCGGGACAAUUUCUAAUCAUCAAUUUCAUUCUCUCCCAAGAUUGUGCAACAUGUUAAUGAUCAAGUUGCUUAAAAUUCAUGAUAUCAUUACGGAGAGAGAUAAUCUUAGCCGGCGGAAAAUACUUGGAUAUAUAAGCAUCUUUGCACUUGUUCCAAGAAUCAAUACUAUUUUUGGGCAAAGACGAAAACCAAGUUUUUGCUCGAUCUCGCAACGAGAAAGGAAAAAAGCUUUAAUUUAAUCACAUCAUUAUCCACAUCUUUCUUCUUUUGCAUAUCGCAAAGCUCAAUGAAGGUAUUAAGAUGGGAUGUGGCAUCUUCACUAGGAAGGCCGGAGAAUUUCUCUUUCAUAACAAGAUUCAGCAAAGCAGCAUUGAUUUCGUAUGAUUCCGCACUAGUGGCGGGAGCAAUCGGAGUACUAAUAAAAUAAUUAUAAUUAGUAUUCGAGAAGUCACAAAGUUUGGUGUGUUCAGUCAUGGUGACUUCAGCAAGCAAACAAGCACACAAGCGAACAGAAAGGAAGCGAGAAAAAACGGCGAAGGAAAAAGGAAAACGAAGAAAAGGGCAAACAUUUUUGUAAAUUUUUGUUUUUCAGAAGUGGGGGAGAGGAAAAUGAGAGGCAAAAAAAGUAAAUGCAAGAAAUGAGUUUGCGACACUUACUUGGAUGAGUUCUUGACUUGAUCCUCCCCGGCAACGGCGCCAGAAAUUCUUCUGCUACGGCAACAGGAAUCCUUCUGUCAUCUCUUGAGCUUGCGUUGGUUUUUCCCUCGAAGAGGAAAGGGCGAUGCAGUAGAGGAGCGGUAAAUAUUUCCCUCAGUUUGGGAACCAAGGUAUCAAUCUAGUAGGAGAAUCGCGCCAAGUCUAGAGUACCUGCGCAAACACAAAAGAGCUUGCACCCAACGCUAAAAAGGGGUUGUCAAUCCCUUCAAGAUUGAUUGCAAAGUGAGAUCUGAAGGCGGAAAGUGCAACAAAGUAAAAUUGUAAGGCUGAAAAUAUGGUGUGAAGUAGACCCGGGGGCCAUAGUGUUCACUAGAGGCUUUUCUCAAAAUAGCAAAUAAUACGGUGGGUGAACAAAUUACUGUCGAGCAAUUGAUAGAACCGCGCAAAGUCAUGACGGUAUCUAAGGCAAUUAUCAUACAUAUAGGCAUCACGUCCGAGACAAGUAGACCAAUACUUUAUGCAUCUACUACUAUUACUCCACACAUCGACCGCUAUCCAGAAUGUAUCUAGUGUAUUGAGUUCAUGACGAACAUAGUAACGCUUUAAGCAAGAUGAAAUGAUGUAGAGGGAUAAACUCAAACCAAUGAUGAAAACCCCAUCUUUUUACCCUUGAUGGCAACAACAUGAUGCGUGCCUCGCUACCCCUUCUGUCACUGGGUGAGGUCACCGCACGGUAUGAACCCAAAACCAAGCACUUCUCCCAUUGCAAGAAUCAUACAUCAAGUUGGCCAAACAAAACCCACAACUCGAAGAGAAUUAGAGUGAUAUGAAAUCAUGCAUAUAAGAGAUCAGAAGAAACUCAAAUAAGAUUCAUAGAUAAUAUGAUCAUAAAUCCACAAUUCAUCGGGUCUCGACAAACACACCGCAAAAGAAGAUUACAUCGGAUAGAUCUUCAGAAAGAUCAUGGAGAACUUUGUAUUGAAGAUCCAAGAGAGAGAAGAAGUCAUCUAGCUACGAGCUAUGGACCCAAAGGUCUAUGGUGAACUACUCACGCAUCAUCGGAGAGGUCAUGGAGUUGAUGAAGAAGCCCUCCGUAUCCGAAUCCCCCCUUCGGCAGGGCACCAGAACAUGCCCCAGAUGGGAUCUUGCGGAGAUAGAAGCUUGCGGCGCUGGAAAAGUGUUUUCGUUGAUCUCCUCGACACUUUUGGAAUUUUUCUGGAUUUAUAGGGGGAAGAGGUAGGGAAGACGUGCCACAGGGGGCCACAAGCCUGCUAGGCGCGAGCCCCCUGGCCGCGCCUAGGGGGCUUGUGGGGUCCCCUGCUAGCCGGUGCCUUGGUUCUCAAGUCUGGUGCGUAUCUUCUGUUCCGAAAAAAAUCUUUUUGGAAGUUUUAUUCCGUUUGGACACCGUUUAAAAUCCUCGUGUGAAAAGGGUAAAAACACGGAAAAAACAGGAACUGGCACUUGGCACUGAGUUAAUAAGUUAGUCUCAAAAAAGAUAUAAAAGGNNNNNNNNNNNNNNNNNNNNNNNNNNNNNNNNNNNNNNNNNNNNNNNNNNNNNNNNNNNNNNNNNNNNNNNNNNNNNNNNNNNNNNNNNNNNNNNNNNNNNNNNNNNNNNNNNNNNNNNNNNNNNNNNNNAAAAAAGAUAUAAAAGGCAUACAAAACAUCCAAAGUUUGACAAGAUAAUAGCAUGGAACCAUAAAAAAUUAUAGAUACGUUGGAGAUGUAUCACUUAUCAAUACAAAACAUAGUACUAGACGGGAUAUGGCGAAAGCACUUGACUAUCUCUCCCGUGUGUUCUCAGAAACGCCUUAGUGUUUAUAGGUUUAGUCCACCGGCUUAUCCUUUAUGUUCAAAAGGAUUGGUCCAUUUGAUUCAUCUCAGCACCAUUUACUUUCCCUGCAUUUAUUUCCUUUUUUCUUAUACCAGAAAACCCAUAAAAAGUUACCUUUCAGUACUUGCAGUUAUUCCUUGCUCAAUAUCAUUUGUCAGUACCUUCUGCUCCCCGUUGGGUUCGACACUCUUACUUAUCAAAAAGGGUACGAUAGAGCCCCUACACUUGUGGGUCAUCAACGUGUCCUUGUCGACCUAUGAGAUUUGGUAGUAACUUGAUUCGAAGCUUCAUGAUUACCAUCAUCAGCUUCCACUUCAACUCGUGUAGGCGCCACACGAAUAACUUCCUGUGUGCUUCUACUCUCGGGUUGAAGUGACGGUUCGAAAAACCUCAUCAAAUUCCACCAUCCUCCCACUCAAUUCUUUCGAGAGAAACUCUUUCUCUAGAAAGGAAUCGUUCCUGGCAUCAAACACUUUGCUUUUCGAUCCGAGAUAGGAGGUAUACCCAACUGUUUUGGGUAUCUUAUGAAGAUGCAAUUAUCCACUUUCAUUUCGAGCUUAUCAGGCUGAAGGCUUUUGACAUAAGCAUCGUAGUCCAAAACUCUAAGAAAUGCCAGCUUAGGUUUCUCCAAACCAUAGUUCAUACGAUGUCAUCUCAAUGGAAUUAAAUGGUGCCCUAUUUAAAGUGAAUGUGGUUGUCUGUAAUGCAUAACCCCAAAACGAUAGAGACAUCAUAGUACACACCAUAUCUUAUAGGGCGCGACUACGAUGUUCGGACACACCAUCACACUAUGGUGUUCCAGGUGGCAUGAGUUGUGAAACAAUUUCCACAUUGUCUUAAAUGUAUAACAAACUCGCAACUCAUAUGUUCACAUCUACAAUCAGAUCAUAGGCAUUUCAUCCUCUUGUCACGACGAUCUUCAACUUCACUCUGAAAAUUGCUUGAACUUUUCAGUAUCUCGGACUCGUGAUUCAUCAAGUAAAUACACAUGUAUCUACUCCAAUCAUCUGUGAAGUAAGUACAUAACGAUAUCCAUUGCGUGCCUCAACACUCUUUGGACUGCAUACACAAAAAUGUAUUAUUUGCAAUAAAACACUUGUUCAUUCCAUCUUACUGGAAGACGAGGUCUUCAGUCAUCUUGCCCAUGUGGCAUGGUUUGCAUGUCUUAAGUGAUUCGAAAUCAAGUGAGUACAAAUGAUCCAUCUGUAUGGAGUUUCUUCAUGUGUUUACACCAAUAAGCAUGGUUGGCAUGUCUCAACCGAUUCAAAAUCAAAUGAGUCCAAAGAUCCAUCAGCAUGGAACUUCGUCAUGCGUUUUGUACCAAUAUGACCUAAGCGGCAAUGCCACAAGUAAGCAGUACUAUCAUUACUAACUUUGUAUCUUUUGGCAUCAAUAUUAUGAUCAUAUGUGUUACUACAAUUAAGAUUCAAUAAACCAUUUACAUUGGGUGGAUGACCAUUGAAGGUAUUAUCCAUGUAAAGAGAAUAACCUUUAUUCUAUAACUUAAAUGAAUAAUCGUGUUGUAACAAACACGAUCCAAUCAUUUUUAUGAUCAACGCAAACACAAAAUAACAUUUAUUUAGGUUCAAAACUAAUCCCGAAGGCACGGGGAGCGUGCGAUGGUGAUCACAUCAACCUUGGAAACACUUCCAACACACAUCGUCACCUCGCCUUUAGCUAGUCUCUGUUUAUUCCAUAGAUUUUAUUUUGAGUUAACUGGUAUCUAAGACCCAGGGGCUACUAGGAGUACUAGUAAUAUACACAUCAAUAAGACGUAUAUCUAAUAUACUUCUGUUGACGUUGCCAGCCUUCUUAUCUACCAAGUAUCUGAUACGUCUCAAACGUAUCUAUAAUUUUUGAUGGUUUCAUGCUGUUAUCUUGUCAACUUUGGAUGUUUUAUGUAUGUUUUAUAUCUUUUUUGGGACUAACUUAUUAAUUCAGUGCCAAGUGCCAGUUCCUGUUUUUUCUGUGUUUUUGACUCUUUUCAGAUCUGGUUUUGGAACGGAGUCCAAACGGAAUAAAAUCCCCGAAAUAAAAUUUUCAAGAACGAAAGAAGAUCACGGGACUUGAGGGCCAAGGCACGAGAGCCACAGGGGCCCAGAAGCCGUGUAGCCGCCACCAGGGGGCGGCGGGUACCAGGCUUGUGGCCUCCCUGGCGCCCCCCCUGACCUAGCUCCUUCGCCUAUAUAUUCCCUAAAAUACAGAAAAAAUAGGGGAAUCCACGAAAAUACUUUUCCGCCGCCGCAAGCUUCCGUUUCCGCGAGAUCUCAUGUGGAGACCCAUCCCGGUGCCCUGCCGGAGGGAACUUUGGAGUUGGAGGGCUUCUACAUCAACAUCAUCGCCCCUCCAAUGACUCGUGAGUAGUUCACUUCAGACCUACGGGUCCGUAGUUAGUAGCUAGAUGGCUUCUUCUCUCACUUGGAUCUUCAAUACAAAGUUCUCCAUGAUCUUAAUGGAGAUCUAUCCGAUGUAAUCCUCUUUGGCGGUGUGUUUGUCGAGAUCCGAUGAAUUGUGGAUUUGUGACCAGAUUAUCUAUGAUAUAUAUUUGAGUCUUUGCUGAUUUCUUAUAUGCAUGAUUUGAUAUCCUUGUAAGUCUCUCCGAGUCUUGGGUGUUGUUUGGCCAACUAGAUCUAUGAUUCUUGCAAUGGGAGAAGUGCUUGGUUUUGGGUUCAUACCAUGUGGUGACCUUUCCCAGUUGCAGAAGGGGCAACAAGGCAUGCAUCGUGUUGUUGCCAUCAAGGGUAACAAGAUGGGCUUUUAUCGUAGAUAUGAGAUUGUCCAUCUACAUCAUGUUAUCUUGCUUAAGGUGUUACUCUGUUCUCAUGAACUUAAUACACUAGAUGCAUGCUGGAUAGCGGUCGACGUGUGGAGUAAUAGUAGUAGAUGGAGAAAGUAUCAGACUACUUGUUUUGGACGUGAUGCCCAUAGAUAUAAUCAUUGCCUUAGAUAACGUCAUGACUUUGCGCGGUUCUAUCAAUUGCUCGACAGUGAUUCGUUCACCCACCGCCUACUUGCUUUCAUGAGAGAAGCCACUAAUGAACACUACGGCCCCCGGGUCUAUUCACACCUAUCGUUUCCACUUUUGCUUUUUUACUUUGCUUUGUUUCUUUUUGCUUUCAGUUCUCACUUGGAAAACAAUCUAUAAGGGAUUGACAACCCCUUCAUAGCGUUGGGUGCAAGCUCUUUGUGUUUGUGCAGGUACUUGUGAUAAUCCUUCACUGGAUCGAUACCUUGGUUCUCAAAACUGAGAGAAAUACUUACCGCCGCUGUGCUACAUCACUCUUUCCGCUUCGAGGGAACACCAACGCAAGGCUCCAAGGCCACGGGGGAAUCCUUUGCAUAUUUGCCAAGGAGGUCCCUAAAGGCGUAGCCAUAGCAGAAGGAUUCCUGGUGCCGUUGCUGAGGAGUAUCAAGACAAGAAUAGUCUCCCAUCAGCACGCUUGUUUCUGGCGCCGUUGGUAGGUCUUUUGUUGCAGUAGCAGAAGUAUUUCUAGCGCCGUUGCCGGGGAAGGAGAGAUUUAUCCAAGUAGGUCUCACAAACUCAUCUCUUGCAUUUACCUUUUUUGCCAGUUGCCUCUCGUUUUCCUCUCCCCCACUUCACAUUUGCCGUUUUCAUUUGCCUUUCUCCUUUGUUGUUUUCUUUUGCCCGCUUAUCUCGUUUACUUCCUGCUCGUUUGUGUGUGGGAUAGUCCAUCAAUGGCUAGACCCACCACUCCAAACGAUACCCCUGAGAACGAAGUUAUCAAUUUCAAGCAGAUUGAGGAAGAAAGUUUAAAGGACGCUUGGUACAGGAUUUGCAAUGCUCAAAGUAGAUCAACUCGUAAGCAAUCCACUACCGUUCUUCUUCGUAGUUUUUAUGUUGAAUCUCUCCUCGAAAUAGGUAUAUUCUUUAUACCAUCGUAGGUGGAAAUUUUUUGGGGAGCCAUACUGUUGACUCCAAUGGAGCUAUCAUGAAUUUGGUAGGCUCACCCCCGCUCAUGGUUAAUGGGACUACCUUAACCUUGGAACACGUGAUGCAAAGGCUUGACGCUAUUGAAAACAAAAUUUCCACAAUUGAACUUAUUGAGGGUUUGGACAGAAAGAUCCACAAUCAAAUUACUUAGUACGGAUCCAAAGUGGGAAUGGUCUUGAAAAAAUUAAGGGAGAAGGAACCUAUUGUUAAUGAUUCCUCUAGAAUUGGCAAACUAGAAGAUGUCAUAACCAACUUGGGUUCCGCUUUUGCCGCUGUGCAAAAUACUCCAAAUCUUACUCUCAAAAAGACCGUCAAGUCUGUUUUUAUUCCUAAAGCUAGUGGUGAGUCAUCCAAUAAAUAUGAAAAUCUUAAGAUGAUAAAUGAUCACGCUACUUAUGGUUUGAGCACCAAAGAUGACUAAAUGUGAUUUCAUCACCUUUUGCCUAGCUAAGGGCGUUAGACAAUAGCGCUUGUUGGGAGGCAAACCAAUGAAUCUAUCCUUUUUCUUUCUGUUUUGUAUUUUCCACACAUUCAUAAUUCUGUUAUUAUUGUGUUUUUUGUGUUUCUUUUUGCGUUUGUGCCAAGUAAAACCGUUAUGAUUAGUCUUGGGGAUGAUCGUUUGGUCAUGCUGGAAAAGACAGAAAUUUCUGCUCACGAAAAGAAUUUUCUUUUUUUUUUCUGUAAGAGAUUUUGAGUUGAUUCUUUUUGCUACGGAUUGCUACGCAAAUUCUUCAGACUGUCUUAAUGUUUCAUAAUUAUUUAAGUACCAUAAGUAUACGAAGUAUACAGAUUGCUACAGACUGGUCUGCUGUUAAUAGAUUCUAUUUUUGUUGAGUUGGUUGCUUAUUUUGAUGAAACUAUGGAUAGUAUCGGGGGGUAUUAGCCAUGGAAGAUUGAAAAUACAGUAACCCAACAUCAACAUAAGUAGAUUUUAAGUUUGCUACAGUACCUAAGGAAGUGGUGGUUUGCUUUCUUAUACUAAUGUUAUCACGAGUUUCUGUUUAAGUUUCGUGGUGUGAAGUUUUCAAGUUUUGGGUGAAGUUCUUAUGGACAAAGAGAUAAAGAGUGGCAAGAGCUCAAGCUUGGGGAUGCCCAAGUCACCCCAAGAUGAUUCAAGGAUGCUGUAAAAGCGUAAGCUUGGGGAUGCCCCGGGAAGGCAUCCCCUCUUUCGUCUUCAAUCCAUCGGUAACGUUACUUGGGGCUAUAUUUUUAUUCACCACAUGUUAUGUGUUUCUCUUGGAGCAUCUUGUAUCAUAGGAGUCUUUUAUUUUUGUUGUGUCACAAUCAUCCUUGAUGCACACCUAGAGAGAGAGACAUGCACUCACCGUGAUUUUGUCGAGCUUCACUUAUAUCCUUUGGUAGACAAUUCAGCUCACAUGUGCUUCACUUAUAUCUUUUGAGCUAGUUGAUUUUGCUCUAUGAGCUUCACUUAUAUCUUUUAGAGCACAGAGGUGUGUGGCUUGGUAGUUGAUCUAUGCUUUGACAGUAGUCUCAAAAGGGGUAGUUAUCCGAAGGGAUAUGAAAACUUCCACCUUCAUGUGCAUUUAAUAGUUAGAGAAGUUUGAUUCAUCUCAAUUAGUUUUGAGUUGUGGUUGUGGUAAUAUUGAAGUUAUGCUAGUAAGGUGUUGUGGAUCUAGAAAUACUUGUGUUGAAGUUAGUGAUUCCCGUAGCAUGCACGUAUGGUGAACCGCUAUGUGAUGAAGUCUGAGCAUGAUUAGUCUAUUGAUUGUCAUCCUUUGUGUGGCGGUCGGGAUCGCGCGAUGGUUUAUACCUACCAACCCUUCCCCUAGGAGUAUGCGUUGAAUGUUUUUUUUCGAUUACUACUAAAACUUUUGCAACAAGUAUAUGAGUUCUUCAUGACUGAUGUUGAGUCCAUGGUUUAGAUGCACUUUCACCUUCCACCAUCACUAUCUUCUUAGUGCCGUGCAACUUUCGCCGGUGCACAAAACCCACCAUUAGCCUCCCUCAAAAAAUCCACCAUACCUACCUACUAUGGGUUUUUCAAAGUCAUUCCGAGAUAUAUUGCCAUGCAACUACCGCCAUGACAUGUGCCAGCACUUCUACAUUGCCAUUGCAUGAUCGUAAGAUAGCUAGAAUGAUGUUUCCAUUAAUGUCCAUGCCAUGCUAGAUCAUUGUCGCGGUACGCUCCCAAAGGCAUUCCAUAUAGAGUCAUAAUUGUUCUAAGUUUUGAGUUGUAAGUGUGAUGAUCAUCAUUGAUGGAUCAUUGUCCCAUGUGAGGAAAUAAAAGAGGCCAGCGAAGCCCAUAUACAAAAAGAGGCCAAAGAUGCCCACCAAAAAAAUAUAAAAAAAGAGGCCAAAGAGCCCACCAAAAAAAUGAGAGAAAAAGAGAGAAGGGACAAUGCUACUAUCCUUCCACACUUGUGUUUAUUAAGCACCAUGAUCUUCAUGAUUGAGAGACUCUCGUUUUGUCACCACCAUAUAGCUAGUGGGAAAUUUUCAUUAUAUAACUUGGCUUGUAUAUUCCAAUGAUAGGCUUCCUCAAAUGUGCCUUAGGACUUCGUGAGCAAGCAAGUUGGAUGCACACCCACUAGUUUUCUUUAAGAGCUUUCACAUACUCUUAGCUCUAGUGCAUCAUUUGUAUGGCAAUCCCUACUCAUUCACAUUGAUAUCUAUUGAUGAGCAUCUCCACAGCUCAUUGAUAUGCCUAGUUAAUGUGACCAUCUUCUCCUUGUUUGUCUUGCAACCUCCACCACACUCCACACCACUUAUAGUACUAAAACCAUGGCUCACGCUCAUGUAUUGCGUGAGAGUUGAAAAGGUUUGAGAAAGUAAAGGUGUGAAAACAAUUACUUGGCCAAUGCCGGGGUUGUGCAUGAUUUAAAUUUGUUGUGCAAGGAUGAUAGAGCAUAGCCAGACUAUAUGCUUUUGUAGGGAUAACUUUCUUUUGGCCUUGUUAUUUUGAAAGUUCAUGAUUACCUUGCUAGUUUGCUUGAAGUAUUAUUGUUUCCACGUCAAUAGAAAACUAUUGUUUUUGAAUCUAAUGGAUCUGAACAUUAACGUCACAUAAGAGGAGUUACAAAGGACAUCUAUGCUAGGUAGCAUGAAAGCAUCAAAAAUUCAUUCUUUAUCACUUCCCUACUCGAGGACGAGCAGGAGUUAAGCUUGGGGAUGCUUGAUACGUCUCAAACGUAUCUAUAAUUUUUGAUGGUUUCAUGUUGUUAUCUUGUCAACUUUGGAUGUUUUAUGUACCUUUUAUAUCUUUUUUGGGACUAACUUAUUAAUUCAGUGCCAAGUGCCAGUUCCUGUUUUUUCAUGUGUUUUUAACCCUUUUCAGAUCUGAUAUUGGAACGGAGUCCAAAUGGAAUAAAAUCCCCAAAAUGAAUUUUUCCAGAACGGAAGAAGAUCAGGGGACUAGAGGGCCAAGGCAGGAGAGCCACAGGGGGCCCACAAGCCCUGUAGCCGCCACCAGGGGGCGGCGGCUACCAGGCUUGUGGCCUCCCUGGCGCCCCCCUGACCUAGCUCCUUCGCCUAUAUAUUCCCUAAAAUACAGAAAAAAUAGGGGAAUCCACGAAAACACUUUUCCGCCACCGGAAGCUUCCGUUUCCGCGAGAUCUCAUCUGGAGACCCUUCCCGGUGCCCUGCCGGAGGGGACUUUGGAGUUGGAGGGCUUCUACAUCAACAUCAUCGCCCCUCCAAUGACUCAUGAUUAGUUCACUUCAGACCUACGGGUCAGUAGUUAGUAGCUAGAUGGAUUCUUCUCUCUCUUGGAUCUUCAAUACAAAGUUCUCGAUGAUCUUCAUGGAGAUCUAUCCGAUGUAAUCCUCUUUGGCGGUGUGUUUGUCGAGAUCCUAUGAAUUGUGGAUUUGUGAUCAAAUUAUCUAUGAUAUAUAUUUGAGUCUUUGAUGAUUUCUUAUAUGCAUGAUUUGAUGUCCUUGUAAGCCUCUCCGAGUCUUGGGUUUUGUUUGGCCAACUAGAUCUAUGAUUCUUGCAAUGGGAGAAGUGCUUGGUUUUCGGUUCAUACCGUGUGGUGACCUUUCGCAGUGACAGAAGGGGCAGCAAAGCACACAUCAUGUUGUUGCCAUCAAGGGUAACAAGAUGGGCUUUUAUCGUAGAUAUGAGAUUAUCCAUCUGCAUCAUGUCAUCUUGCUUAAGGCGUUACUCUGUUCUCAUGAACUUAAUACACUAGAUGCAUGCUGGAUAGUGGUCGGCGUGUGGAGUAAUAGUAGUAGAUGCAGAAAGUAUCGGUCUACUUGUUUUGGACAUGAUGCCUAUAGAUAUAAUCAUUUCCUUAGAUAACGUCACGACUUUGCGCGGUUCUAUCAAUUGCUCGACAAUAAUUCGUUCACCCACCGUCUACUUGCUUUCAUGAGAGAAGCCACUAGUGAACACUACGGCCCCCGGGUCUAUUCACACCUAUCGUUUCCACUUUUGCUUUUACUUUGCUUUGUUUCUUUUUUCUUUCAGUUCUCACUUGGCAAACAAUCUAUAAGGGAUUGACAACCCCUUCAUAGCAUUGGGUGCAAGCUCUUUGUGUUUGUGUAGGUCUUGUGAUAAUCCUUCACUGGAUCGAUAACUUGGUUCUCAAAACUGAGGGAAAUACUUACCGCCGCUGUGCUACAUCACCCUUUCCGCUUUGAUGGAACACCAACGCAAGGCUCCAAGGCCAUGGGGGAAUCCUUUGCAUAUUUGCCAAGGAAGUCCCUAAUGGCGUAGCCGUAGCAGAAGGAUUCCUGGUGCUGUUGCUGAGGAGUAUCAAGACAAGAAUAGUCUCCCAUCAGCACGCUUGUUUCUGGCGUCGUUGGAAGGUCUUUUGUUGCAGUAGCAGUAUCCACGGCAGUCCCGCCUAGGUGACCAUUCCCCUCAUCAUAGAAGCACUUAGUCUCGGGUUUGGGUUUCAACAUUGGGUUUCUUCUUUGGAGUCACAACUGACUUGUCAUUCUUGUAGUUUCCCUUCAUUCCCUUUGCCCUUCUUGAAACUAGUGGUUUUACUAACCAUCAACACUUGAUGCUCCUUCUUGAUUUCUACCUUCGCGGUGUCAAACAUCAUGAAUAGCCCAGGGGUCAUCAUCUCGAUCCAUGAUAUGCUAUAGUUCAUUACAAAGCUGUGUAGCUUGGUGUUAGUGACAUUGGAGAACUAUGCCAAUCACUAUCUCAUUUGGAAGAUCAAUUCCCACUCGAUUCAAGCGAUUGUAGCACCCAGAUAAUCUGAGCACAUGCUCAACGAUUGAGCUUUUCUCCCUUACUUUGCAGGAAAAGAAAUCUUGUUGGAGGUCUCAUACCUGUCAACAUGGGGAUGAGCCUAAAAUCCUAAUUGUAGCUCUUGGAACAUCUCAUAUGUUCCUUGACGUUCAAAACAUCUUGGGCGCCUCAAUUCUAAACCGUAAAGCAUGACACACUGUACUAUUACGUAGUCAUAAGAAACAUGUAUGUCAGAUGUUCACAACAUCCACAAAUGACAUUCGGGGGGAGGGGGCAGCACACUGAGCGGUGCAUUGAGGACAUAAGCCUUGUGUGCAGCAAUGAGAACAAUUCGCAGUUUACGGACCCAGUCCACAUAAUUGCUACUAUCAUCAUUCAACUUAGUUUUCUCUAGGAACAUAUCAAAAUACAGGGGAGCUACAACUGAAGCUAAUCAUCUACAACAUAAUUUGCAAAGACAUCUUGACUAUGUUCAUGAUAAUGAGUUCAAUUAAUCAUAUUACUUAAGAACUCCCACUCAACUCAACAUCCCUCAGGUUGUUUGAGUGUAACAUGAUCCAAAUCCACCAAGCCAAGUCUGAUCAUCACGUGAGAUGAGGUGGUUUCAAUGGUGAACAUCUCCAGGUUGAUCAUAUCUACUAUAUGACUCAUGUUCGACCUUUCGGUCUCGGGUGUUGUGAGGCCAUGUCUAUACAUGCUAGGCUCGUCAAGUUAAACACGAGUGUUCCGCAUGCACAAAACUGUCUUGCACCCUUUGUAUGUGAAUGUAGAGUCUAUCACACCCGAUCAUCACGUGGUGUCUCGAAAUGACAAACUUUCGCGACGGUGCACACUCGGGGAGUACACAAUUUUAUCUUGAAAUUUUAGUGAGGGAUCACCUUAUAAGGCUACCUUCGUCCUAAGAAAAACAAGGUGCAUAAAAAGGAUUAACAUCACAUGCAAAUCAUAAGUGACAUGAUAUGGCCGUGAAUUUGUGCUUUUUGAUCUCCAUAUUCAAACCACCGCCAUGAUCUCCAUCUUUACCGACAGAACACAAUGAUCUCUAUAAUCGUGUUGCCAUAAAGGUAGUCGCGCCAACCAUGCUUAUACUACUAUUGCUAGCGUAUUGCGAUAAAGUAAAUCAUUACAUAGCGCUUAAUGAUUUACAUGCAGGUCAUAAAAUAAUUAAAGACAACCCUAUGGCUCCUGCGGGUUGCCGUAGCAUUGACAUGCAAGUCGAUAUUAACUAUUACAACAUGAUCAUCUCAUACAUCAAAUAUAUAUAUCAACAUGUCUUUGUCCAUAUCAUAUCACAAAAUACCGUGCAAAAACAAGUUAGACGUCCUCUAAUUUGUUGUUGCAUGUUUUACGUGCCUGCUAUGGGUAUCUAGAAAGGACGCUUCUUACCUAUGAAAAACCACAACGGUGAUAUGCAAGUUGCUAUUUAACCUUCUACAAGGAUCGCCUGCGUCGAAUCCGAUUCAACUAAAGUGGGAGAGAGACACCCACUAGCCAUAUUUAUGCAACAAGUUGCAUGUCAGUGGAUGGAAGCAGUCUCUCGUACAUGGACGAGUAAGGUUUGUCUGGGCCGCUUCCCACAAUACCGUUGAAUCAAGAAAAGACUAAGGAGGGAACAAUCUGAAUAUCAGGACCCACAAAAUCCUUUGUGUUCUACUCGUGAUGUAAUCUACGCAUAUACCUAGCUUAUGAUGCCACUUAUGGGGAACAUCACAUGGCAAACUGUCACACCCUGUUUUUCACCCCAAGUUUUCUGUUUUGCAAAAAUCAGAGCUUGUUAAAACUUUUUCAAAUAAUGUUGUGAGUGCAAUGUCAGCCCUUGUUUGAGUGUAUGCUUGUUUGUUUGAUGACUCAAACCCAUGAAAAACUUAUUAUUUUGCUCUCUUCAAAAACCCUUUUUCCUUUAUAUCAAGAUCACCUUCAUCAUGUUGGGAUACACUACUAGCUCAUGAAGCCAAGUGGCACUUCGAACCAAAGUUGGUGACCUGAUACAAAUAUUAUUUUCAUUCAUUAAAAACAUUAAUUGGUGAUUUAAAAUAUUAUUUUCCUAUUUUAUAUCUAUGUCUAUUUCUAAGGCCAGUAAUGUUAUUCCCACAAGGAAAAUUACUUUCCUGCCUUAGAAAAUUAUGAGUAAAAUCAUGGAAGCUUGGAAGGACAUAUAUUUUCCAUAUAUAAGAUUUUCAACCCUAUUUUAUAUUAAUAUUAUUUGAGUAAAACCCUGAAAACCAUUUCUGUCUGUUUUAGCUUUUUGAGAUGUUUCCAAAGGAAAUUAUCUCAGUAAAUUCCCAUAAAAUUAUAGGAGCCCUCCCAAACCAUAUUAGGCGCUCACCUAAAAUCUCACCUUGAUCCAAGGUGGGGAAGUGCACUUAUAGAUCCCAAAACCCUCUGUGUCUAGAGAAGAGUUGGAACAACUCUACAUUGCAAAGUUUCCCCAAUGGAGCUGAAACUUUGCAGAGGUGUUUAACACCCCAAAUGAGGACUCCACACCAAAGAUGGGAUUUGUGAGACUCUGUUUGGCCACACUUCCUUUGUAAAGGACAGUACUGGUCAUUUUGAGACAUUCUCAAGUUUGCCAAGCCAAACUUGUUCAAUGGAACUCAGAUUUGGUGGAACCCCAUGUUUUUACCCCAAGACCAAACCUGUUAAGUUUCAUUUACAGUGGUGGAGUGGAAGCACCUCAAGUCACUGUCGAACACCUACUGACAGGAAGGUAAAAACCCUCCUAGGCACUGUUUUCCCAAUGUCAAGGCCCCAAACUUGGCGGGUUAGAGCACCAGAACCCCCUGAACACCCAGUCAAUCAGCCCCUCGCCAACUCCAAGCACAAGUGACAAGAACUCCAAUUUGAGCUGCAGGGCAGUACUGACAACACUAGUGUUCCUUGCUCCCUUCACCAGCUCGAGCUCCCACUAAACCACAACGGCUAGGCACACUCUCUGCAACACUCAGGACAUGGAGGACACGUCCCAAGUACCCCAGAGCGAGCCAGCAUGCCGUGGCAUGCCAAAACUGCGCUCUAGGCGCGCUGCAGAGAGCCACCCGCAAGGGGACGACGCUCCGGCCGGUCCCAGCCUCCCCAGUUAUGUCCAAGCGCUCCCCCGACAAGAAUUCAGUGCAAAGAUACCCCAGGGACCCUCUCCCCCUCGCGCAAGAGCUCAGGUGACGCGUGCCCGUGCGCGCCCGACGCGGCCGAGCAUGCACGGUCGCUGCAACUUGUCCCCACUCACUUUCCCUCUGCGGCCGUUGCACCAAGAGGCCCUAAACCACGUCCCGAACCCAUGGUUUCGCGGCCAGCACCUCACUGUGCUUGCACGCGUGCCACGGUGAGUCACCGGCACGCCCGAGUCGGGUCACCGUUGUUGGCCUAUAAAUAGGUCCCCCCGGCACUCCAGCACCCUCCAAGCAGCUUCAACACAACCAGUAGACACUCCCUAGCCGCCCAAUCGAGCUCGUAGAGCCCCGGUGCUCGAGAUCGACCGAGGCCCCUCCGCCUCGGAGCUCCGGUCGAUCUCCGGCUACACGUCGGCUCCUGCGCUGCCCGACCUCUCAUUACACUCCCCUUGACACCAGGAAGGUUUCCCCUAACUCUUCCGAACGAAUCCAUACCCCUAGCCCCUAGUUCAACAGCAACCCAAAACCCUUCCGCCACGAGCACCUUGUCGCCGGCGACCCAGACCACCUCCGGUGAUGUCCCGACCACGAGCAGGUAGGCGAAGGCACAGGGAACCCCUUUCCGUUCCUAGCUUGGCCUGAGGACAACGGCAGCCUCGCCGGCGUCCAUAUCCACCUCUCUGGCUGGAGGUAGGAGAAGGACCCGACAGGUGGAGCCCACCUGUCGGUGUCUUGGGGCAGCCAGCGCGCGCAGCCGCUGACGCUGACCCUAGGGGCCCGCAGGUCAGGUUUGAACAUGGCCCGUGCGCGCCUGGUGGCCAAGCCUGCUGGCUGGGCCGACUGGAUCCAACCCCCCUUGCCUUUUUCUUUUGUUUAAUCCAGCAAAGUAAAUGAUUUUUAUAAAAAGAUUUAGCCAGUAGAAAAAUAUAAUUCUUCCAUUAAUAAUUUUCUGAAAAUGAGUAGUAUUUGAUUCUGUAAUAGUUGACAUUUAUCAAAAACAGAAACUAUUUUGGUAUAAUAAAAUGAUAUUAAAAAGCACUUGUUUGCUUCUGUUUGCUUUUAAAUAAAUAUGCUUAGCUAAUAAAACAAUAGGAAACAUUUUUCAAAAUAAUAUCCUGAAUUUAUUCAAGCCUUGCAACAUUUUUUAAAAGCACUUUGUGAUCUGUUUUAGUGAGAGCUAGUAUUUAUUUAUUCCUUUCUCGACGUUAGAGUUACCGAGUGACGGAGGAUCCGGAGCGGAAGACCUCGAAGACCCCAGAUACCUAGCUGACCAAGGCAAGCAGCCUUUUGCCAUGACUUAAGUAUAUAAAAUGAUGCAUGCUAGAAUAGCAAGUACUUUCCGUUGCAUGUGAUCACGAUGCCGGUUCAUCAUUGAUGUGAUGGUACCGAAGGCUUCUUCGAAGCACUUGCAUUGAUAGUAAUGAUAUUCACAUGGCUCCUCGGAGCACAAAGAUGAUGAGCUGACCCUACCAUCUACGAGGAUCAUGCUACUGUCAUGUUGACUAGUAGAGUAUAAGCACUGCAUUGAGCUUGACCCUACCCCGUGAGGGUCAUGAUAUUAUCAUGUUGACAAGUAAUGUUAAGGCAUAUUAUCUCAAGAAUAAUGUUGAGUUAAAUAAAGAGUUUAUGAAAACCCCGUCGGGUGCCACUAAUGCCCGAGGGUGAUGAUGAGUUGGUGAUCACUUUUGGUGAAGUGAUGCGCCGGUGAUUUUGGUGUGAGUAUGGUUUCGGAAAUGGAUUAGAUUUAUGAUGUGUCGACCGUCCCAACCUUACCAGUACGACCAGGAUACCCCUUUAUGGGACGGGGCUUUGUUGAUUACUCUGGUCGUUACUAGCAAAGAGACACAUUACUAGUGGCGGGAGUGAUCGGUGUCACUCUCGUGAUGGGGUCGUGCCAUGUAGGACGACUAUGCCAUUAUUAUGAGUUCCAAGCACACCGUUGGUCCCUGCAUGGUUGUUACAGUCCAGAGUCGGUGCUCAUAAGACGUACAACAUGUGGGCUGGGUACAAAUCGAGUGGACCUCUUUGUCUAGUAUCGUCAGGGGAAAGAUGUGAUCGGGUACUUACCUCGGGUAUAUGUGAUAUACCGCGAGUCGUGGAUGACACGGAAGUUUCCCGUUUCUCGUGGGUCCAGCGUACUACCUCUGCAGAGUGUAAACUAUUCGAAUAGCCGUGUCCACGGUCAAGGACAGUUGGGUGGUGCUGCUUAAACUACGUCCUGAGUUUUCGCAUAAACCAAGUGUGUGUGCGUGGUGUUAAAAAGGUGUUGUUAUGAUAAUCACAAUAAUAUGAUCAAGUUGUGUGACUUGACAUAUAGGGUAAACCCGGAUGGUUCAGCCCUCAUUAAUAUCUUGAGGAUAUGACAAGUCCGAUGACUUGGCAUAUAGGGUGAACCCGAUGUGUUCAACCCUUGACAGAUAUGUUGAUAUCUCUAACCUGUUCUUCAAAAGUAAUUCUUUAACUUGUUGCACAUACUUGAUCAUACCACCACAUUGCAUUCCACUAAAGAUAACUGUUACUGUUAUUCCUUACCACAUGCAUAUCAUGGGCUGUUUGCGAGUACAUUCAAAGUACUCAUUGGCUUGCCACUGGUUAUGUUAUUGACCAGACAUGGAAGGACCGGAGUGAGACGGACCUGCGAUCUAGGACGCUUCCAAGUCAGAAUGCCUGUCGGUGUAGGCUUGAUGGCAUGGGCUCCGCUUAGACCUUACGAGUUUCCACUACUCGAUGUAUCCUUUUAAUUUGGCUUUAGGCCUUGCUCUUGAACCCGACCUUCUGGUCAUUUGAUGUAAUAAUUCGGUACUUGGAUGUAAGACUCUAUGAUUCAGUAUCUGUGUUCAGUGAACAUUGAUCCUUGGGGUCACUGGGCACGGCGAACUUGACUUGCUAGUCGGGGUCCCCACACAAACAAAAAAUGUCCUACGCUCACCAAGAUCUAUCUAUGGAGAUCAACAUCUACAAGAAGGAGAGUGCAUCUACAUACCCUUAUAGAUCGCUAAGCAGAAGCGUAAAUAACGCAGUUGAUGUAGUCCAAUGUAUUCAUGAUCCAAAUUGCAAUCCGUCCCGCGAUCCUAGUGCGAUCCGUCCCACGAUCCCAUCACGAUUCAUCCUGAUCUAGUGCCGAACGGUCGCCGCCUCCGCGUUUAGCACACGUACAACUCAAUGAUGUUAUCCACCUCCUUGAUCCAGGCAGAGAGUAUGUUGAGGUAGAUGAGUUCGCCGAUAGCAUGACGACAUGGCGGCAGUGGUGGUGGAGCUGUUCCGGUAGGGCUUCGCCAAGAAAUAUCGAAACCGAUCUAGUGGAGAAAACUGAUCUAUAGGGAGAAGGAGAGGUUGCGUCGUGGCUUGUGUUGCGGAUGCCCUCUCUCCUCUCCACUAUAUAUAGGAGGAAGGGAGGAGGGGUGGCACCCUAGGGUUUCCCCUAGGGCCGACGGUCAAGAGGUAUCCACCUCCCAAAAGGGAGGUAGGGCGCACCCUUAGGGAGGAGUCCCUCUCAUCUAGGACUCCUCCCAACUGCCACCAUUGGGGCGCAUGGGCCCUUGGGGUCAGCUGUCAUGCCCACCAGGGGUUCGUGCGCCACCUCUGUCAGCAUUCUAGGAACGGGGGUACCCAGACCUGCCUGCCUGCGGCCUAGGGCUGGCCCACUUCACAACCAGGCACGGCACCUCUCAGGACAAGGCCCUCGCGAGGGCCCGAGCCUCACGGGGAGGAGCAACACCAAGACCAACAGGGGGGCUCCUCAGGACCCCUCCAGAGCGGCAGAUAUUCUGAUGCGAGACUCGACCUCAGGAGUCAAAGAUCACGUGAGGAAGGACAAGCAGGCAGCAGGCUGCCAGGCGGUGCAGUUUCCCCUUUGGCGCAAAGGGAGUAGGGACGUACGCGGGCUCCCAAGGCAUCGUCCAAAGGUUUCCAUUCUGGUGCAACGUGGCCACAACCGCCCGCCAGCAGGAGGAACGUCCUCGCUGAGCCCGCCCUACGGCGCCAAAAGCUACUUUGCAGGCGAAGACCACCUUUGGGCAAAGGGAGCACGUUCCCCUGUCCCACUUGAAAAUUGGCCAUUGUGGGAUCCCUUCCCGCCACUGCGAUAAAGGGUGAGGACCCAGGACACGACUAUAUAUAGAGGAUAGGUAACUUCGUGGAGGGGAUCUGUUCAUUAGCUCACUUCCACCAGUGAUAAACGACCAAGCCGCUGGGAGCCCGGUGCACAUUCCGAGGCCUCCGGAGGCUCCCGAAGCACUGUACUAGUUCAUCCACCCACCUUCACGAGAGGCAAUCCACCAAACCAGGAUUUGGGUUUUACGCUUCGCAGUGGCCUGAACCUGGGUAAACUGUUAUGUCUGUUGUGUUCCUCACCAUCAUGUGAGUUCUUCUCCAUACCCAUCGAGUAGCGAGCUAGGUGAGGCCAUCUCGCGAGAGACCUUCGUACAUGCCCCUGAGUUUGAAUCUUAAGGGUUUUGCGGAGCCUGAAAUUUGACAUUUGGUGUGCGAGGUAGUGGGCGUGUCGAAGCCUCCACAUUUGCGGCAAAGGCCAGACCUCGACUCGGUGACGCGAUGGUCGGCGUGACCACCAGUAUCCGCCGGCCCUCGGCGACAGGUGACUCUGGGCAAGCAGUGCCUCUCCGGCGGUCGCCUGCAUCCUCGGCGGGGCGUAGGCACCAUCUUCUGGCCGUAAUGUCAAACGCUUCCUAUAGCGCAUAGGGGCGGUUCAGCCAAGGCCCGAGCACGCGGAGCACCGCGCAUGGCCAGAAGUCGACAUCACCUUCGGCCCCGACGACCACCCCAAGGCCACGACAGCCGUUGGAUCACUUCCUAUGCUGUGCGCGCCGACCAUAUGCAGCGUGGCCGUCUCCAAGACCCUCAUCGACAGCAACGCCGACCUCAACAUCAUCGCUGUAGAAGCCUUCGACGCGCUGCGGUUGCCCCGCGAGCGACUCAUGCCAACAAAGCCCUUCUCUGGGGUGGUGGCCGGAUCCAUCAUCCCCUUGGGGCGAGUUUGCCUCCCCGUCACCUUCGGCACCCACUCCAACUUCCGCACCGAGGAGGUCGACUUCGACAUCGCCCACAUCCAUCUCCCGUACAACAUGAUACUCGGCUAUCCCGCCCUCGCCCAGUUCAUGGCGGCAACGCACCCAGGCUACAACAUCGUCAAGAUGCCGGGGAGCGGCGACAUGCUAACCGUUGUGGGGGACGUCAAGGACGCGUCCCAUGUGCUCGAACUAUCCUACAUGACUGCGGCCGCGGCGAGCGCCUCGAAGAACCCUGGAAGCGUUCCCAAUGUCGCGCCCAUGAAGAAGAGGUAGCUAUUCCCCCAAGAUCGAGCAAAAAGAAAGCAAGUACCGGUGGACGAGGGAGGCCAUACCCCAACCUUCACCAUCGGCGCCAACCUGCCUCAAGGCCAAGGGGGCGUUGGUGGCUUUCCUAAGGGCGAACAAGGACGCAUUCGCGUGGAGCGCCUCUGACUUGGUGGGGGUCCCGAGGGACGUAAUUGAACACCACCUCAUGGUGUGCCCGAGCGCGCGCCCGGUGAAGAAAAAGGCAAGGAGACAGGCUCCAGAGAAGCAGGCAUUCAUCGCUCAGGAGGUCCUCAAGCUGGAGGAGGCAGGGGUCAUCCGGGAGGUGCACUACCCAGAGUGGGUGGCCAACCCCAUGGUCGUCCCGAAGAAAUGCGGGAAGGAGAGCAUGUGCGUCGACUUCACGAGCCUCAACAAGGCUUUCCCCCAGGAUCCGUUCCAGCUACCAUGCAUCGACCAGAUCGUGGACUCCAUCGCAGAAUGUGAUCUCCUAUGCUUCCUGGAUGCAUUCUCGAGCUACCACUAGAUCAAGAUGGCGGUGGAGGACGUCAAGAAUACAACCUUCCUCACUCUGUGCGGGGUAUUCUGCUACGAAUGCAUGCCCUUUGGGCUGCGGAACGCCGGGGCGACCUUCCAGCGACUGAUGCACAUCGCCUUGGGGCCGUAGCUCGAGAGGAACGCAUAAGCUUACGUCGACGACAUCGUGGUCAAGUCCAAGGCGGCAAAAACCCUGGUUGGGGACUUGUAAGAGACCUUCACCAGCUCAAGAAAGGUGACUCUGAAGCUCAACCCCAAGAAGUGCGUCUUUGGGGUUCCCUCAGGCAAGCUGCUCGGUUUCCUUGUGUCGCACCGGGGAAUCGAGGCAAACCCGGUGAAGAUCAAUGCCAUAAACAAGAUGAGCGCGCCCAAAAACCUCAAGGAAAUGAAAAAGCUGGCAGGGUGUGUGACCCCCCUUGGUCGUUUCAUCUCAACCCUCGACGAGUGGGUCCUACCUUCCUUCAAGAUCACGAAAAGGAAGGUCCCUUUCGAGUGGACCUCGGAGGCCAAUGCAGCCUUCGAUGAACUCAAGUGAUACCUCACGGGCCCACCUGUCAUGGUGGCGCCUCGUCUGCGGGAACCCUUGCUCAUGUACCUUGCCGCCACCCACACUCCACUAGCGUCGCAUUGGUGGCUAUCAGGGAGGAGCAAACCGUCAAGGGUGCCACAUCAAGGAACUCUGUCGGGCCCCCGCCUACGGAGUUAGGGGGCUCGCCCGAUACACAAGCCCCGACCCCCUCGGGAGCCGGAAGACCUGAGGUCAAGACCUCUAGGUCGGACCUUGAGAUGCUCAACACUCUCGAGGCCCUAGCGUCCUGACCCCGUCGAGGAGCAGGAUGCCUUAGGAGGGCACAUCCUUGUCUAGCACCCGGUGUACUACGUCAGGACGGUAUUACAGGACACACGUUCACGCUACCCUAUGCAGCAAAAGCUCCUCCUAGCGCUCCUCAUCGCUUCACGGAAGAUGCGCCACUACUCCGAGGGGCAUCAAAUAAAGGUCGUCUCCGCGUGUCCCUUGGAGAAGAUCCUGCACAACCCAAAUACGACGGGAAGGGUUGCCAAAUGGAACAUCAAGCUUCAGUCCUUCAACAUCGAAUUCAGCAUGGCCAGGGUCAUCAAGGGAGCGGCAUUGGCGGACUUCAUGGCGGAAUGGGCUCACGCACCGGACCGGGGGAUGGAAGGGAGCCAGUCCCUCGCCCCCGGCGACAAAGAGCUCGAAGGAUGGACCAUGCACUUUGUCGGGGAUAUACCCCGCAGUGUAACCCGGCUUGGAGUAUGACCCGCCAAAGGACUUGGCGACUCACCGACGACUCAGAAGUGACCUGGCGGGCGACUCAUACUUGUCCCCAUAGGCGACUUAGAUAAAUGACGAAGGCCCAAGGCCCAGCGUGCACCCUGGCAUAAGGCGAUUCAUAGAGAGGCCAGGAGGGACGGCUCACAAGAGAAGGCCCGAAGAGGAGAGAUUCCCUCAUAAAGGAAACAAGACCUGGAUUAGGAUUCAAGAGAGACUAGUCCUAUUCCUACUCCUAGUAGGACUCUACAUGUAAACCUACCCCUUCCACCUAUAUAAGGAGGGGUAAGGCGCCCCAAGAGGGACAACUUAGGUCUAGACAAGACAAAUCAUGAGAUAGACAGAUUAGACACCCACGAGAUUAGAGGUGGCGAGUCUGCACUCUUGUAAUCGAGAUCAUCAUCUUCAUCAAUGAAGCACAAGCAGGACGUAGGCUUUUACCUCCAUUAGAGGGGCCGAACCUGGGUAAACUCGCGUCUCUCGAUUCCAACCAACCCCUUCAAGCCGCCACAUGGUUGCGAUGGCCUCACACCUAAGUUCUCUCACGAGGACAUCUGCCAUGACAAAACCAUGACACACUUUGACGGAGCCUUCACGCGAAGGGGAGCGGGGGCUGGGGUUGUGCACACAUCCUCGGUAGGAGACAAGCUCCGCUACGCAGUACAGCUCUGCUUCCAGCGUGGGGAAAAGGACUCCAACAACAUAGCGGAAUACGAAGGCCUCAUCGCUGGCCUCAAGGUAGCGACGGCCUUGGGAGUUCGGAGCCUCGUAGUCAUGGGUGACUCUCAGCUCAUCAUCCACUUCUCCAACAAAGAGUACACGCCCAAGGACGAGCACAUGGAGGCGUAUCUGCAAGAGGUACGUAAGAUUGAGAAACUUUUUCAGGGCUUGGAGCUGCAGCACAUCCUGCGGGGCGCGAACAAGGAGGCGGAUGACAUCCCCAAGAGAGCCUUGCGCCGCGAGGCUCAGGAGCCGGGCGUCUUCGAGGAGCGACUCUUCAAGACUUCAGCGACAUCGUCAACCGAGGGCAUGGUGCCUUGAGAGGAGGAGAUCCCCCCAGCACCACCCUCGGGGUCUCCGGACUACGGCCAAGCCUGAGGGGCUCGAUUGCUCCUGGCUUUGGAGGCGCAGGACGACGACUGGAGGCAGGAACUCAGGGCAUACCUACUCCACAUCACGUUUGUUGGAAUUAUGCCCUAGAGGCANNNNNNNNNNNNNNNNNNNNNNNNNNNNNNNNNNNNNNNNNNNNNNNNNNNNNNNNNNNNNNNNNNNNNNNNNNNNNNNNNNNNNNNNNNNNNNNNNNNNNNNNNNNNNNNNNNNNNNNNNNNNNNNNNNNNNNNNNNNNNNNNNNNNNNNNNNNNNNNNNNNNNNNNNNNNNNNNNNNNNNNNNNNNNNNNNNNNNNNNNNNNNNNNNNNNNNNNNNNNNNNNNNNNNNNNNNNNNNNNNNNNNNNNNNNNNNNNNNNNNNNNNNNNNNNNNNNNNNNNNNNNNNNNNNNNNNNNNNNNNNNNNNNNNNNNNNNNNNNNNNNNNNNNNNNNNNNNNNNNNNNNNNNNNNNNNNNNNNNNNNNNNNNNNNNNNNNNNNNNNNNNNNNNNNNNNNNNNNNNNNNNNNNNNNNNNNNNNNNNNNNNNNNNNNNNNNNNNNNNNNNNNNNNNNNNNNNNNNNNNNNNNNNNNNNNNNNNNNNNNNNNNNNNNNNNNNNNNNNNNNNNNNNNNNNNNNNNNNNNNNNNNNNNNNNNNNNNNNNNNNNNNNNNNNNNNNNNNNNNNNNNNNNNNNNNNNNNNNNNNNNNNNNNNNNNNNNNNNNNNNNNNNNNNNNNNNNNNNNNNNNNNNNNNNNNNNNNNNNNNNNNNNNNNNNNNNNNNNNNNNNNNNNNNNNNNNNNNNNNNNNNNNNNNNNNNNNNNNNNNNNNNNNNNNNNNNNNNNNNNNNNNNNNNNNNNNNNNNNNNNNNNNNNNNNNNNNNNNNNNNNNNNNNNNNNNNNNNNNNNNNNAAAAAGAAAAAAAAAGGGAGGAGGUGGGAAGGGAGGGGGACUCCCUCCGACCAAACCUAGUCCAACUCGGUUUGGGGGGGGGAGAGUCCCCCCCCCUUGGCUCGGCCGACCCCUUGAGGGUCCUUGGACCCCAAGGCAAGGCCCCCCCUCCCUCCCACCUAUAUAUAUGGAGGUUUUAGGGCAGAUUUGAGACGACUUUCCCACGGCCGCCCGACCACAUACCUCCACGGUUUUUCCUCUAGAUCGCGUUUCUGCGGAGCUCGGGCGGAGCCCUGCCGAGACAAGGUCAUCAUCAACCUCCGGAGCGCCGUCACGCUGCCGGAGAACUCUUCUACCUCUCCGUCUCUCUUGCUGGAUCAAGAAGGCCGAGAUCAUCGUCGAGCUGUACGUGUGCUGAACGCGGAGGUGCCGUCCGUUCGGUACUAGAUCGUGGGACUGAUCGCGGGAUUGUUCUCGAGGCGGAUCGAGGGACGUGAGGACGUUCCACUACAUCAACCGCGUUCUCUAACGCUUCUGCUGUACGGUCUACAAGGGUACGUAGAUCACUCAUCCGCUCUCGUAGAUGGACAUCACCAUGAUAGGUCUUCGUGCGCGUAGGAAAAUUUUUGUUUCCCAUGCGACGUUCCCCAACAGUGGCAUCAUGAGCUAGGUUCAUGCGUAGAUGUCUUCUCGAGUAGAACACAAAAGAUUUUGUGGGCGGUGAUGUGCGUUUUGCUGCCCUCCUUAGUCAUUUCUUGAUUCCGCGGUAUUGUUGGAUUGAAGGGGCUUGGACCGACAUUACUCGUACGCUUACGAGAGACAUGUUUCAUCGUUACGAGUAACCCCCUUUGCUCAAAGAUGACUGGCAAGUGUCGGUUUCUCCAACUUUAGUUGAAUCGGAUUUGACGGAGGAGGUCCUUGGAUGAGGUUAAAUAGCAACUCAUAUAUCUCCGUUGUGGUGUUUGCGUAAGUAAGAUGCGAUCCUACUAGAUACGCUUGGUCACCACGUAAAACAUGCAACAACAAAAUUAGAGGACGUCUAACUUGUUUUUGCAGGGUAUGAUUGUGAUGUGAUAUGGCCAACGAUGUGAUGUGAUAUAUUGAAUGUAUGAGAUGAUCAUGUUGUAAUAGAAAUAUCGACUUGCACGUCGAUGGUACGACAACCGGCAGGAGCCAUAGGGUUGUCUUUAUACUAACAUUUGUGCUUGCAGAUGCGUUUACUAUUUUGCUAGGAUGUAGCUUUAGUAGUAAUAGCAUAAGUAGCACGACAACCCCGAUGGCAACACGUUGAUGGAUGAUCAUGGUGUGGCGCCGGUGACAAGUAGAUCGUGCUAGUGCUUUGGUGAUGGAGAUCAAGAAGCAUGCGAUGAUGGCCAUAUCAUGUCACUUAUGAAUUGCAUGUGAUGUUAAUCCUUUUAUGCACCUUAUUUUGCUUAGAACGACGGUAGCAUUAUGAGGUGAUCUCUCAGUAAAAUUUCAAGACGAAAUUGUGUUCUCCCCAACUGUGCACCGUUGCUACAGUUCGUCGUUUCGAGACACCACGUGAUGAUCGGGUGUGAUAGACUCAACGUUCACAUACAACGGGUGCAAAACAGUUGCGCACGCGGAACACUCGGGUUAAGCUUGACGAGCCUAGCAUGUGCAGACAUGGCCUCGGAACACAUGAGACCGAAAGGUCGAUCAUGAAUCAUAUAGUUGAUAUGAUUAGCAUAGGGAUGCUUGCCACUGAAACUAUACUCAACUCACGUGAUGAUCGGACUUGGGAUAGUGUAAGUGGAUCAUGAACCACUCAAAUGACUAGAGAGAUGUACUUUUUGAGUGGGAGUUUAGCAUGUAAUUUGAUUAAAUUGAACUCUAAUUAUCUUGAACAUAGUCUAAGUCCACUUUGAAUAUAUUUGUGUUGUAGAUCAUGGCUCACGCGACAGUCAUCCUGAAUUUUAAUACGUUCCUAGAGAAAGCUAAGUUGAAAGAUGAUGGAAGCAACUUUGUAGACUGGGCUCGUAAUCUUAAGCUAAUCUUACAAGCUGGGAAGAAGGAUUAUGUCCUUAAUGCUGCGCUAGGAGAUGAACCACCCGCUACGGCUGAUCAGGAUGGUAAGAACGCUUGGUUAGCACGUAAGGAGGACUACUCAAUAGUUCAAUGUGCAGUCUUGUAUGGCUUAGAACCGGGACUUCAACGUCGCUUUGAGCGUCAUGGAGCAUUUGAGAUGCUCCAGGAGUUGGAGUUUAUCUUUCAGAAGAACGCCCGGAUCGAGAGGUAUGAGACCUUCGAUAAAUUCUAUGCUUGCAAGAUGGAGGAAAACUCGUCUGUCAGUGAACAUGUGCUCAAAAUGUCUGGGUACUCAAACCGUCUGGCUGAGCUGGGGAUUGAACUCCCGCAAGAAGCUAUCACUGACAGAAUCCUUCAAUCACUGCCGCCAAGCUAUAAAGGCUUUGUGUUGAACUACAACAUGCAAGGGAUGAACAAGUCUCCUGGCGAGUUGUUUGCGAUGCUGAAAGUCGCAGAGUCUGAACUCCGUAAAGAGCAUCAUGUGUUGAUGGUGAGCAAGACCACUAGUUUCAAGAGAAACGGCAAAGGCAAGAAGGGCAAUUCGAAGAAGAGCGGCAAGCCUGUUGCCAAUCCGCCGAAGAAACCCAAGGCUGGACCUAAGCCUGAAACAGAGUGCUUCUAUUGCAAGGGUAUGGGUCACUGGAAGCGCAAUUGCCCCAAGUAUCUGGCAGAUAAGAAGGCGGGCAAAGAAAAAUCAGGUAUAUUUGAUAUACAUGUUAUUGAUGUGUACUUAACCGGUUCUCGUAGUAGUGCCUGGGUAUUUGAUACCGGUUCUGUUGCUCACAUUUGCAACUCGAAGCAGGAACUGCGGAAUAGACGAAGGCUGGCGAAAGACGAAGUGACGAUGCGCGUAGGAAACGGUUCCAAGGUUGAUGCAAUUGCCGUCGGCACAGUGUCACUUCAGCUACCAUUAGGAUUAGUGAUGAACUUAAAUCAUUGUUAUUUAGUGCCUGCGUUGAGCAUGAACAUUAUAUCUGGAUCUUGUUUAUUGCGAGACGGUUACUCUUUUAAGUCUGAGAAUAAUGGUUGUUCAAUUUCUAUGAGUAACAUCUUUUAUGGUCAUGCACCGAAUGUGAGAGGAUUGUUCAUAUUGAAUCUUGAUAGCGAUACGCAUAUACAUAACAUUGAGACCAAAAGAGUUAGAGUAAACAAUGAUAGCACCAUAUUUUUGUGGCACUGCCGCUUGGGUCAUAUUGGUGUAAAGCGCAUGAAGAAACUCCAUGCUGAUGGACUUUUGGAGUCACUUGACUUUGAUUCACUUGACACGUGCGAACCAUGCCUCAUGGGCAAGAUGACUAAGACUCCGUUCUCCGGAACAAUGGAGCGUGCAAGUGACUUGUUGGAAAUCAUACAUACCGAUGUGUGUGGUCCAAUGAGCGUAGAGGCACGCGGCGGAUAUCGUUAUUUUCUCACCUUCACUGACGAUUUAAGUAGAUAUGGUUAUGUCUACUUGAUGAAGCACAAGUCUGAAACAUUUGAAAAGUUCAAGCAAUUUCAUAGUGAAGUGGAAAAUCAUCGUAACAAGAAGAUCAAGUUCCUACGGGCUGAUCGUGGGGGUGAAUAUCUGAGUUUCGAGUUUGGUGCUCACUUAAGACAAUGUGGAAUAGUUUCGCAGUUAACACCGCCUGGAACACCACAGCGUAAUGGUGUGUCCGAACGUCGUAAUUGUACUUUGUUAGAGAUGGUGCGAUCUAUGAUGUCUCUUACUGAUUUGCCGUUAUCAUUUUGGGGUUAUGCAUUAGAAACAACUGCAUUCACUUUAAAUAGGGCACCAUCAAAAUCCGUUGAGACGACACCAUACGAACUGUGGUAUGGCAAAAGGCCAAAGUUGUCGUUUCUUAAAGUUUGGGGAUGUGAUGCUUAUGUCAAAAAGCUUCAGCCUGAAAAGCUGGAACCCAAAGCGGAAAAGUGCAUCUUCAUAGGUUACCCAAAAGAGACAGUUGGGUACACCUUCUAUCUCAAAUCCGAGGGCAAAGUGUUUGUUGCUAAAAACGGAGCUUUUCUCGAGAAGGAGUUUCUCUCGAGAGAAUUGAGUGGGAGGAAGAUAGAACUUGACGAGGUUCUCGAACCUCUCAUCCCUCUAGAUGGUGGCGCAGGGCAAGGGGAAACCUCUGUCAUUGCGACGCCGGUUGAGGAGGAAGUUAAUGAUGAUGAUCAUGAAACUCCAGUUCAAGUUUCUGUUGAACCACGCAGGUCGACGAGAUCACGCGCUGCUCCAGAUUGGUACGGUAAUCCCGUCUUAUCAAUCAUGUUGUUAGAUAACAAUGAACCUGCAAAUUAUGAAGAAGCAAUGGUGGGCCCAGAUUCCAACAAAUGGCUGGAAGCCAUGAAAUCCGAGAUAGGAUCCAUAUAUGAGAACAAAGUGUGGACUUUGGAGAUACUACCUGAGGGCCGCAAGGCUAUUCAGAACAAAUGGAUUUUUAAGAAGAAGACGGACGCUGACGGUAAUGUGACCGUUUAUAAAGCUCGACUUGUGGCAAAGGGUUUUUCACAAGUUCCAGGAAUUGACUACGAUGAGACUUUCUCUCCCGUGGCAAUGCUUAAGUCCGUCAGAAUCAUGUUAGCAAUAGCUGCAUUUUUCGAUUAUGAAAUCUGGCAGAUGGAUGUCAAAACGGCGUUCCUUAACGGUUUCCUUAAGGAAGAGUUGUAUAUGAUGCAACCCGAAGGUUUUGUCGAUCCUAAAAAUGCUGACAAGGUGUGCAAGCUCCAGCGAUCCAUUUAUGGACUGGUGCAAGCAUCUCGGAGUUGGAACAAACGAUUUGAUGAGGUGAUCAAAGCAUUUGGGUUUAUACAGGUGGUUGGAGAAUCUUGUAUUUACAAGAAAGUGAGUGGGAGCUCUGUGGCGUUUCUGAUAUUAUAUGUGGAUGACAUAUUACUGAUUGGAAACAACAUAGAGCUUUUGGAGAGCAUAAAAGGUUACUUGAAUAAAAGUUUCUCUAUGAAGGACCUAGGAGAAGUUGCUUACAUUCUAGGCAUUAAGAUCUACAGGGAUAGAUCAAAACGCCUGAUAGGACUUUCACAAAGCACAUACCUUGAUAAAGUUUUGAAGAGGUUCAAAAUGGAACAGUCCAAGAAAGGGUUCUUGCCAGUUUUACAAGGUACGAGAUUGAGUAAGACUCAGUGCCCAGCAACUGAUGAAGAUAGAGAGCAUAUGCGCUCCGUCCCCUAUGUUUCAGCCAUAGGUUCUAUCAUGUAUGCAAUGCUGUGCACUAGACCGGAUGUUAGCCUGGCCAUAAGUAUGGCAGGAAGGUUCUAGAGUAAUCCAGGAGUGGAUCACUGGACAGCGGUCAAAAAUAUCCUGAAGUACCUGAAAAGGACUAAGGAGAUGUUUCUCGUGUAUGGAGGUGACGAAGAGCUCGCCGUAAAAGGUUACGUCGAUGCAAGCUUUGACACAGAUCCGGACGACUCUAAGUCGCAAACCGGAUACGUAUUUAUUCUUAAUGGGGGUGCAGUAAGCUGGUGCAGUUCCAAGCAAAGCGUCGUAGCAGAUUCUACUUGUGAAGCGGAGUACAUGGCUGCCUCGGAGGCGGCUAAGGAGGGUGUCUGGAUGAAGCAGUUCAUGACGGAUCUUGGAGUGGUGCCAAGUGCACUGGAUCCAAUAACCUUGUUCUGUGACAACACGGGUGCCAUUGCCUUAGCAAAGGAACCACGGUUUCACAAGAAGACCAGACACAUCAAACGACGCUUCAACCUCAUCCGCGACUACGUCGAGGAGGAGGACGUAAAUAUAUGCAAAGUGCACACAGAUCUGAAUGUAGCAGACCCGCUCACUAAACCUCUUCCACGACCAAAACAUGAUCGACACCAGAACUGUAUGGGUGUUAGAUUUAUUACAAUGUAAUUCACAUGGUGAUGUGAGGGCUAGAUUAUUGACUCUAGUGCAAGUGGGAGACUGUUGUAAUUAUGCCCUAGAGGCANNNNNNNNNNNNNNNNNNNNNNNNNNNNNNNNNNNNNNNNNNNNNNNNNNNNNNNNNNNNNNNNNNNNNNNNNNNNNNNNNNNNNNNNNNNNNNNNNNNNNNNNNNNNNNNNNNNNNNNNNNNNNNNNNNNNNNNNNNNNNNNNNNNNNNNNNNNNNNNNNNNNNNNNNNNNNNNNNNNNNNNNNNNNNNNNNNNNNNNNNNNNNNNNNNNNNNNNNNNNNNNNNNNNNNNNNNNNNNNNNNNNNNNNNNNNNNNNNNNNNNNNNNNNNNNNNNNNNNNNNNNNNNNNNNNNNNNNNNNNNNNNNNNNNNNNNNNNNNNNNNNNNNNNNNNNNNNNNNNNNNNNNNNNNNNNNNNNNNNNNNNNNNNNNNNNNNNNNNNNNNNNNNNNNNNNNNNNNNNNNNNNNNNNNNNNNNNNNNNNNNNNNNNNNNNNNNNNNNNNNNNNNNNNNNNNNNNNNNNNNNNNNNNNNNNNNNNNNNNNNNNNNNNNNNNNNNNNNNNNNNNNNNNNNNNNNNNNNNNNNNNNNNNNNNNNNNNNNNNNNNNNNNNNNNNNNNNNNNNNNNNNNNNNNNNNNNNNNNNNNNNNNNNNNNNNNNNNNNNNNNNNNNNNNNNNNNNNNNNNNNNNNNNNNNNNNNNNNNNNNNNNNNNNNNNNNNNNNNNNNNNNNNNNNNNNNNNNNNNNNNNNNNNNNNNNNNNNNNNNNNNNNNNNNNNNNNNNNNNNNNNNNNNNNNNNNNNNNNNNNNNNNNNNNNNNNNNNNNNNNNNNNNNNNNNNNNNNNNNNNNNNNNNNNNNNNNNNNNNNNNNNNNNNNNNNNNNNNNNNNNNNNNNNNNNNNNNNNNNNNNNNNNNNNNNNNNNNNNNNNNNNNNNNNNNNNNNNNNNNNNNNNNNNNNNNNNNNNNNNNNNNNNNNNNNNNNNNNNNNNNNNNNNNNNNNNNNNNNNNNNNNNNNNNNNNNNNNNNNNNNNNNNNNNNNNNNNNNNNNNNNNNNNNNNNNNNNNNNNNNNNAAAAAGAAAAAAAAAGGAGGAGGUGGGAAGGGAGGGGGACUCCCUCCCACCAAACCUAGUCCAACUCGGUUUGGGGGGGAGUGUCCCCCCCCUUGGCUCGGCUGACCCCAUGAGGGUCCUUGGACCCCAAGGCAAGGCCCCCCUCCCUCCCACCUAUAUAUAUGGAGGUUUUAGGGCAGAUUUGAGACGACUUUCCCACGGCUGCCCGACCACAUACCUCCACGGUUUUUCCUCUAGAUCGCGUUUCUGCGGAGCUCGGGCAGAGCCCUGCCGAGACAAGGUCAUCACCAACCUCCGGAGCGCCGUCAUGCUGCCGGAGAACUCUUCUACCUCUCCGUGUCUCUUGCUGGAUCAAGAAGGCCGAGAUCAUCGUCGAGCUGUACGUGUGCUGAACGCGGAGGUGCCGUCCGUUCGGUACUAGAUCGUGGGACUGAUCGCGGGAUUGUUCGCGGGGCGGAUCGAGGGACGUGAGGACGUUCCACUACAUCAACCGCGUUCUCUAACGCUUCUGCUGUACGGUCUACAACGGUAUGUAGAUCACUCAUCCCCUCUCGUAGAUGGACAUCACCAUGAUAGGUCUUCGUGCGCGUAGGAAAUUUUUUGUUUCCCAUGCGACGUUCCCCAACAACGUUAUCGGAGAAGGAGGAAGACACGGAGCAUGUAGCUCGAGAAGUCACAACCUACUGCCAGUAGGACGGUGAUCUGUACCGCAGGCGUCCGAACGAUGUCACACUGCCGUGCAUUUUCGGGGAGCAAGGAUGCGAGCUAUUGGCUGAUAUCCAUGAAGGAGACUGCGGGCAUCAUUCUUCCUCGCGCACACUUGCAGGUAAGGCGUUUCGAUCAGGCUUCUACUAGCCUACGGCGUUGGACUACCCCGUCGAGCUGGUCCGGUCUUGCGAGGCCUACUAGUUUCACGCCAAGAAGAUCCACCAACCCGCGCAGGGCCUCCAGACCAUUCCACUCUCCUGGCCCUUUACGGUCUGGGGGUUGGACAUACUGGGGCCCUUCCCGUGAGUGGCGGGCGGCUUCCACUUCCUCUACGUCACCAUCGAAAAAUUCACCAAGUGGGAAGAGGUGGAGCCCAUGUGCACCAUCCCCGCAGGGUCGGCCGUCAAGUUCAUCAAGGGCCACGUGAGCCGCUUCACCAUCCCCAACCGCAUCAUCACCGACAAGGGUUCGCACUUCACAAGUCACGCCUUCAAGACUUACUAUGCUAACAUGGGAACGCAAAUAUGUUACGCUUCGGUAGCCCACCCGCGGAGCAAUGGCCAGGUGGAGCGCGCCAACGCGGAGGUCCUACGAGGCCUCAAGAAGAGGAGCUUCAAGAAGAAGCUCGAAGCUUGCGGCAGGGGCUGGGUCGACGAGCUCCAAUCGGUAUUUGAUACUUCCAUUUUGCAUCAUGCUUUCAUGUUGAUAUUUAUCACUUUAUGGACUGUUAUUAUACUUUGUGGAACCAUACCUAUGCCUUUUCUCUCUUAUUUUGCAAGGUUUAUUUGAAGAGGGAGAAUACCGGCAACUGGAAUUCUGGAAUAGAAAAGGAGCAAGUCUGAGUCCUCUAUUCUGCGCAACUCCAAAUGCCCGGCAAAUGAACGUGGAUUUUUUUGGGAAUAUAUAAAAAAUACUAGGCGAAAGAAGUGUCAGAGGGGAGCUGCCAGGGACCCACAAGCCUGGUUUCUGCGCCCUACCCCCCUGGCAGCGGCAAUAGGGCUUGUGGGCACCUUGGUGGCCCACUGCCCCCCCUCUUUUGCUAUAUGAAGGGUUUCGUCCGAGAAAAAAUUAGGGUGGAGCUUUUUCGUGGAUUCGCUGCCGCCACGAGGUGGAACUUGAGCAAAACCAAUCUAGGGCUCCGGCAGGACGAUCCUACCGGGGAAACUUCCCUCUCGGAGGGGGAAUCGUCGCCUUCGUCAUCACCAACACUCUUCUCAUCAGAGGGGAUUCAUCUCCAUCAACAUCUUCAUCAGCACCAUCUCCUCUCCAAACCCUAGUUCAUCUCUUGUAACCAAUCUCCGUCUCGCGACUCCGAUUGUUACUUGUAAGUUUGCUAGUAGUGUUGAUUACUCUUUGUAGUUGAUGCUAGUUGGAUUACUUGGUGGAAGAGUUUAUGUUCAGAUCCUUGAUGCUACUCAUUACACCUCUGAUCAUGAUUAUGAUUAUGCUUUGUGAGUAGUUACUUUUGUUCCUGAGGACAUGGGAUAAGUCAUGCUAAUAAGAGUCAUGUGAAUUUGGUAUUCGUUCAGUAUUUUGAUAUGCUGUAUGUUGUUUUUCCUCUAGUGGUGUUAUGUGAACGUCAACUACAUAACACUUCACCAUAUUUGGGCCUAGAGGAAGGCAUUGGGGAGUAGUAAGUAGAUGAUGGGUUGCUAGAGUGAUAAAAGCUUAAACCCCAGUCUAUGCGUUGCUUCGUAAGGGGCUGAUUUGGAUCCACUAGUUUAAUGCUAUGGUUAGACGUUGUCUUAAUUCCUCUUUCGUAGUUGCCGAUGCUUGCGAGAUGGGUUAAUCAUAAGUGGGAUGCUUGUCCAAGUAAGGGUAGUACCCAAGCGCUGGUCCACCCACAUAUCAAACUAUCAAAGUAACGAACGCGAAUCAUAUGAACAUGAUGAAACUAGCAUGACAGAAAUUCCCUUGUGUCCUCGGGAGCGUUUUUCGUCUUAUAAGACUUUGCUCAGGCUUGUCCCUUGCUACAAAAGGGAUUGGGCCACUUUGCGACACCAUUGCUACUACUUGUCACUUGUUACUUUUCGCUUGCUACGUUUCACCUUACGACACCAUCACUUGUUACCACUACUUUCAGUGCUUGCAGUUAUUACCUUGCUGAAAACCGUUUAUCAGAGCCUUCUUCUCCUCAUUGGGUUCGACACUCUUACUUAUCGAAAGGACUACGAUUGAUCCCCUGUACUUGUGGGUCAUCCAGACUCUUUUCUGGCGCCGUUGCCGGGGAGGGGAGCGCCUUUGGUAAGUGGAAUUUGGUAAGGAAACAUUUAUUUACUGUGCUGAAAUUUAUUGUCACUUGUCACUAUGGAAACUGUUCCUUUGAGGAAUUUGUUCGGGGUAUCUUCACCACGAACAGAAGCACGAGGAGUUGUUCCUCAACCUGAGGUACCUACUGAAAAUAUCUUUUAUGAAAUUCCUCCGUGUAUGCUUGAGAAACUGCUGGCUAAUCCUUUUACAGGAGAUGGAUCUUCACAUCCAGACUUGCAUCUAAUCUAUGUAGAUGAAGUUUGUGGUUUAUUUAAGCUUGCAGGUUUGCCUGAGGAUGAGGUAAAGAAGAAAGUCUUUCCUUUAUCUUUGAAGGAUAAGGCGUUGACAUGGUAUGUCUAUGUGAUGAUACUCGAUCAUGGGACUACAAUCGGUUGCAAUUGGAAUUUCAUCAAAAGUUUUAUCUUAUGCAUUUAGUACAUCGUGAUCGGAAUUAUAUUUAUAACUUUUGGCCUCGUGACAGGGAAAGCAUAGCUCAAUCUUGGGGGAGGCUUAAAUCAAUGCUAUAUUCAUGCCCCAAUCAUGAGCUCUCAAGAGAAAUUAUCACUCAAAACUUUUAUGAUCGGCUUUGUCAUGAAGAUCGUACCAUGCUUGACACUUCUUGUACCAGUUCUUUUAUGAAGAAGGAUAUUGACCACAAGUGGAAUUUAUUGGAAAGAAUCAAACGUAACUCUGAAGAUUGGGAGCUUGAAGAAGGUAAGGAGUCAGGUAUGAAUUUCCAGUUUGAUUGCGUUAAAUCUUUUGUUGAAACAAACACUUCUAGAGAUUUUAGUGCUAAGUAUGGACUUGACUCUGAGAUAGUAGCUUCUCUAUGUGAAUCUUUUGCUGCUCAUGUUGAUCUUCCCAAAGAGAAGUGGUUUAAGUAUCAUCUGCCUGUAGAAGUCAACAUAGUUAAACCCAAUCUAGUUGAAGAGAAAGUCAUUGCCUUUAGUUAUCCUAUUGUUCCUUGUGCCUACGGUGAGAAACCACCUUACCCUGCUAGGAAAAAGGAUUAUUCUAAAGCUCCAACUGUGAUACGUAGGGGUUACAUUAGACCACUUGCACCCCCUGAGGAAAUUAGAGUUGAACCUAGUGUUGCUAUUAUCAAAGAUCUCUUAGCCGAAGACAUAGACGGGCAUGUUAUCAAAUUCUGUGAGGACUCCGCUAGAAUUGCUAAACCUCACGCGAAAGACAAAUACAGACCUGUAGUUGGCCUGCCCGUUGUUUCUGUGAAGAUAGGAGAUCACUGUUAUCAUGGUUUAUGUGAUAUGGGUGCUAGUGUUAGUGCAAUACCCCGGUCCCUGUAUGAUGAAAUCAAAGAUGAGAUUGCACCUGCUGAGUUAGAACCCAUUGAUGACACUAUUAUGCUAGCUAAUAGAGACACUAUCUUCCCUCUGGGAAUUGUGAGAGACGUAGAAGUCCUGUGUGGUAAGACGAAGUAUCCUACUGAUUUCCUCGUCCUUGCUACUGCACAAGAUAGCUUUCGUCCCAUCAUAUUUGGUAGACCCUUUCUCAACAUUGUCAAUGCUCACAUUGAUUGCAUUAAACAGACUGUCACUGUUAGUUUCGAAGGUGUGUCUCAUGAAUUUAACUUCUCCAAGUUUGGAAGACAACCCCAUGAGAAAGAGUCGUUUGGUAGGGAUGAAAUCAUUGCUCUUGCCUCUAUUGUCAUACCUCCUACGGAUCCUUUAGCGCAAUAUCUUCUUGAGCAUGAAAAUUAUAUGCAUAUGGAUUAAAGAGAUGAGAUAGAUAAAUUUGUUUUAGAACAAUUUCCUAUACUCAAGAAUAAUCUGCCUGUUGAACUGCUUGGGGAUCCUCCCCCACCAAAGGGUGAUCCUGUGUUCGAGCUAAAACAGUUACCAAAUACUCUUAAGUCUGCCUACCUUGAUGAGAAGGAGAUAUAUCCUGUUAUUAUUAGUACUCACAUCUCGAAUCACGAAGAUAAGAAUUUAUUAAAAACUUUGAGGAAGCACCGUGCUGCUAUUGGAUAUACUCUUGAUGAUCUUAAGGGUAUUAGUCCCACUCUAUGCCAGCACAAGAUUAAAACCGAUCCUGAUUCUAAGCUAGUUGCUGAUCAUCAACGGAUAUUAAAUCCGAGGAUGAAAUAGGUCGUGAGAAAAUAAAUAUUAAAGCUUNNNNNNNNNNNNNNNNNNNNNNNNNNNNNNNNNNNNNNNNNNNNNNNNNNNNNNNNNNNNNNNNNNNNNNNNNNNNNNNNNNNNNNNNNNNNNNNNNNNNCUCCUGCACGUGGCGUGGACGGCCAACGUCAGUCCUAGCAUCCCUUAAUCACAAGCGCGAUGCAUCUCGGGACCACUCGGGCGCGCGCCGCUACAUUGCUGGCAUCUGAAAAGCUUCGGCUGAUACCGCGACGCCGAGUACCCAUAAUUCUUCCCGCGUAGCCGGUUAGUGCAAAAAGGUCUCCGACCAACCCAGAUCAAAUACCCAAAUCCAUUAGCAUUUUAAUUAGGCCAGCAACACAGUAUCACGGGAAUCCACCCGUCUUACAACUAAGCACCAAUGAUCCCAGUAACAUAGUCGAGUAACUGUGUGGUUGUAACAUCGGGGGGGGGGGGUCCGAGGUAUCACCCUCGUUGGACACCGAACGAUGUACCCGUCAAGGUGGGCUUAGAGGAAUCACCCUCGGGGGUCCCACACUUGAGGGGUUGCACGACAGGGGCGUCAUCGGGAAUGGUGAAAGAGGAAUCACCCUCGAUAACCACGACCGACUAGCUAUACUACAGAGAUAUCAUCAGAUGUACUUAGCGAGGUGUCACCCUCGGUACCCGAUAGUAUCUCUGUAGCGUCGUAGAACGGAGGGAGGUGAAUGUGCUGUGUCGGGUCUGGCUCGUCGAUCAGAGAUCGAGAUUUGACAACAAGCGGGGCAACUGAACUACGGGGUCAGAGGGGCUGACUGCUCCACCUAUACGAAGCAGAUUAAAGGUACUGGACUGAAAGUAGCAGUUCAUCAAAGACAUGCUAUGCAUCAGAUAUAGGAGCUAACUACAAUAGUAGCAAAAUACUAAUGCAAGCAGUAGAAAGGAAGACAUAGGCGAUAUAGGAAUGAUCAAGGGGAAUUUGCUUGCCUUGCUGCUCUGCGGCAAAGGACUAAUCGGCAGGGUCGUAGAUGUACCCGGCAGCAGCGUCAGUCUCGGGGUCUACCGGUAAGAAGAGGGGGAAGAAACAAUAAAUAAUAGCACCGAUGCAACACAAAGCAUGACAUGGCAAGAUGCAGGCUAGACAUGAGCUAACGCAACAACAUCCGUCAUAGACGGGUCGGAAAAAUAUCUGACGAUAUUUUCCGGGUCUCGGGCUACUACCGGUUAUACNNNNNNNNNNNNNNNNNNNNNNNNNNNNNNNNNNNNNNNNNNNNNNNNNNNNNNNNNNNNNNNNNNNNNNNNNNNNNNNNNNNNNNNNNNNNNNNNNNNNNNNNNNNNNNNNNNNNNNNNNNNNNNNNNNNNNNNNNNNNNNNNNNNNNNNNNNNNNNNNNNNNNNNNNNNNNNNNNNNNNNNNNNNNNNNNNNNNNNNNNNNNNNNNNNNNNNNNNNNNNNNNNNNNNNNNNNNNNNNNNNNNNNNNNNNNNNNNNNNNNNNNNNNNNNNNNNNNNNNNNNNNNNNNNNNNNNNNNNNNNNNAUUUUCAAAGUUUUAUUAAUUAUUUAGGAAUUAAAAACAGAUUUAGCUAUUAUAAUAAAAUCCCAUUAUGACAUCAUCGCGAUGUCAGGCUGACAUCAGCAGUUGACUGGUCAACUGACCAGUGGGUCCCGAACGUCAUAGGCACAAGUUNNNNNNNNNNNNNNNNNNNNNNNNNNNNNNNNNNNNNNNNNNNNNNNNNNNNNNNNNNNNNNNNNNNNNNNNNNNNNNNNNNNNNNNNNNNNNNNNNNNNAAUUAUGCCCUAGAGGCAAUGAUAAAUGAAGUUAUUAUUAUAAUUCCUGUAUCAAGAUAAUAGUUUAUUAUCCAUGCUAUAAUUGUAUUGAAUGAAGACUCAUUUACAUGUGUGGAUACAUAGACAAAACACCGUCCCUAGCAUGCCUCUAGUUGGCUAGCCAGUUGAUCAAUGAUAGUCAGUGUCUUCUGAUUAUGAACAAGGUGUUGUUGCUUGAUAACUGGAUCACGUCAUUGGGAGAAUCACGUGUUAGACUAGACCCAAACUAAUAGACGUAGCAUGUUGAUCGUGUCAUUUUGUUGCUACUGUUUUCUGCGUGUCAAGUAUUUAUUCCUAUGACCAUGAGAUCAUAUAACUCACUGACACCGGAGGAAUGCUUUGUGUGUAUCAAACGUCGCAACGUAACUGGGUGACUAUAAAGAUGCUCUACAGGUAUCUCCGAAGGUGUUAGUUGACUUAGUAUGGAUCAAGACUGGGAUUUGUCACUCCGUGUGACGGAGAGGUAUCUCGGGGCCCACUCGGUAAUACAACAUCACACACAAGCCUUUCAAGCAAUGUAACUUAGCGUAAGUUGCGGGAUCUUGUAUUACGGAACGAGUAAAGAGACUUGUCGGUAAACGAGAUUGAAAUAGGUAUACGGAUACUGACGAUCGAAUCUCGGGCAAGUAACAUACCGAAGGACAAAGGGAAUGACAUACGGGAUUAUACGAAUCCUUGGCACUGAGGUUCAAACGAUAAGAUCUUCGUAGAAUAUGUGGGAUCCAAUAUGGGCAUCCAGGUCCCGCUAUUGGAUAUUGACCGAGGAGUCUCUCGGGUCAUGUCUACAUAGUUCUCGAACCCGCAGGGUCUGCACACUUAAGGUUCGACGUUGUUUUAUGCGUAUUUGAGUUAUAUGGUUGGUUACCGAAUGUUGUUCGGAGUCCCGGAUGAGAUCACGGACGUCACGAGGGUUUCCGGAAUGGUCCGGAAACGAAGAUUGAUAUAUAGGAUGACCUCAUUUGAUUACCGGAAGGUUUUCGGAGUUACCGGGAAUGUACCGGGAAUGACGAAUGGGUUCCGGGAGUUCACCGGGGGGGGGCAACCCACCCCGGGGAAGCCCAUAGGCCAUGAGGGUGGCGCACCAGCCCUUAGUGGGCUGGUGGGACAGCCCAAAAGGGGCCUAUGCGCCAAGGAUAAGAAAUCAAAGGAAAAAGAAAAAAAAAGGNNNNNNNNNNNNNNNNNNNNNNNNNNNNNNNNNNNNNNNNNNNNNNNNNNNNNNNNNNNNNNNNNNNNNNNNNNNNNNNNNNNNNNNNNNNNNNNNNNNNGGCACCGUCGGGGUAGCAGUCGUCGGUGGCGGGGACCUCCAUCUCCUGGGCUCCAUCAUCUGGUCGCAGCAAAAUGGAUCAAGGGGACAAGGGGGGAGCAAAGCAGCGGUGAGUACUCAUCCAAAGUACUCGCAAGUCUUACAUCAGAACUAUCCUAAUUAUGCAUCAGUAUCAAAGAAGGGGGUUAUAUGUGGACUGACUGCAGCAAUGCGAGAAUAGAGAGAGAAGGCCUAGUCCUAUCGAAGACUAGCAUCUUCAGGGUCUUGCAGCAAUAGACGAGAGUAGCACAGGGGUAACACAUUAAUAGUCAUAUUGUUGCAGCAAAAUUAAAGUGAGGUCACCCCUAAAGAUCCUCCCUCGACUCCCUGCGAGGAAGCAAUCCCGAGGCAAACUAAUUCCAGUUAAGUAACAAUUGUAGUUGUAAAAGAUCGGGGCACAACUCCAAGUCGUCCUGUAACCGUGGACACGGCUAUCCGAAUAAUUAAUUUUCAUCCCUACAGGGGUGCACCACAUGUCCCGUCACGCUCGAUAACACUCUGGCCGGACAUACUUUUCUGGGUCCUGCCCGGCCUCGAAAUAUCGACACGUCGCAGNNNNNNNNNNNNNNNNNNNNNNNNNNNNNNNNNNNNNNNNNNNNNNNNNNNNNNNNNNNNNNNNNNNNNNNNNNNNNNNNNNNNNNNNNNNNNNNNNNNNUCCUUGGGCUGAAAUUUUGCAAGGUGAUGCAUUAUGAUAUAUUACCCUUGUACACCAAAGAUAAGCCCAUUCCCUCUAGCCAAUAUUCCUCAGAAAAUUAUCCAAGUGCCUGUCCAGAUUGGAGCACUUUGAAGGAAGUACCAUUUCUACUUAUGCAAUUGGUAUUAAAUUUUUACAGUCUAUCCAUAUGCCUAAAUCAUUGGUCUCCGCCAAAUUUGAGCCAUUUGGCCCCAGCUUCCCCAUCUUCAUUUCUGUCGAGUGGGCAAGGUUGCGAAGGAAGUGAUAUCUAGACUGGUUCAUUGGAGCUGAUAUUUUGCCAACUUAGUCACCGUAGUAGAUGGAUAACCCUUGCCAGAGAUCUUGCUAAGAGGUGCACUAUGGUGGCCACACCACAACACAAAUAGGUUGUUGUUGGCAACUAUUUGACCUUGUCCCAAUCACCUCGGACCUCUCUAGAGCUAGUAAGUUGCAUAGAUCAGCUCAACAAUACUUGGAGAACACCCUAGACACACUUCGGCAUCAAGUGCGGCAUGGCAAUGCCGUGGCAACAUGGUGACCACAUGCAAACCACGCCAAAAUCACGCCCUGUGCGCCACAGCCUUCGGGAGCUCCUUCCAGCGAGCUCUGGCUUGUCUCGGAGCAUCGACGAGCUCUCUAUGGUGCGCGUGAACCCUCCAGAUCCAUCUCCCCCUUGUCUUCUUGCCGCGGACGGCCGUGCUGACUACCAGAUCGCCGCCACGAUGGUGAGCUUAUCGGAUCUCCGUUCCCCAUUGAGGAGCUUCUUCCAAUGUCUAUAUAAGGAGCGUGCCCGAGCCCCUCCCCUCACGAGCAAGCCUCUCCAGCCCCCAUCGAGCCCUAGCCCUCUGUCUCGAGCUCGUGGAGCUCUUCCCUCCACCCGUGGCCGAGCUCUCCGCCGCCCAUUCCCCUCGGGCCAUCCCAGCCUCGACCCUUCCCCUCCUCUCAAUCCUCGCCCUCGGCCUCCUCCAGAGCUCAGGAAGCCGCCGCCGUCUUUAGUUACUCCGGGGGAGCGUUGCCGGAGUAGCUCCCCAGUGGUCGUGGUUGCCGCCCCUGCCAACUAUAGUUGCCCCUUUCCCGUGCGACCCCGAGUCCCUCGCGACCACCGCUGAGCGUGAGACGAAUCCGUGAAACCGCCCAGCUCGUUGAUAUGUCCCUAACGUAUCUAUAAUUUCGGCUUCUUCCAUGAUCUUUUGGGUGACAUUGUUAUAUGUUUUGCAACACUUUUAUAUCAUUUUCACAUAUUUGGACUAACCUACUAACUUAGUGCACCCAGUACCGGUUUUUUAUGCUGAUGUCCUUUUUGCACGGGCUUUUACCCAAUCUUCCGAAGCCCCGAAAAUUCCAGAAAAAAUAUAUAAAAAUCAGCUUGAUGGGAGCUUGAAAAUCACCGAAGGUGGGCCAGACCAGGGCCAGGGGCCACCCAAGCGACCACCCGGCGCGGCCUGGCCCCUAGCCGCGCCAGCAUGCCGCCUAGGUGGGUUCCACCUCCACUGGUGCCCUCCUUUGGCCUAUAUUUAGUCCUCCAUGAUGAAACCCUUCCAUCACAUCCAGAAUCCCGAAUUCCUCCACCGUUCCGCCGCUCCAGCGCUUUCGACAUCGGGAGUGCGAGGACACCUCUUCUGAGCACCCUACCGGAGGGCGGAUUGAUCUCCGGAGCUUCUCCACCACCAUGGACGCUUCCCGGAUGUUCCAUGAGUAGUCCUCCUUUGACCAUAAGUCCAUGACCAGUAGCUAUGUGACGUGUUCUCUCCAAUCUUGUGCUUCAAUGGUUAGUCCUUGUGAGAUGCCCUACAUGAUCAUGGCAUAUAUGUAAUCCUCUUGCUAUUGCUAUGUUGAGUUUGAUGAGAUUCGAUGGAUUAUGAGAUUAUGUUCAGAUUAUUGUGAGUUAUAUAUUUGCUUAUCCUUUUAUAUUAUGUUCCUAGUGAUUCAUGCAUGUUCUCCGUUACCGUUUAUUACUUUGGCCGAUUAGUAGAUUGUAACUCCAAGGGGGAGCAUUAUGCAUGAUUGUGGGUUCAUGCCCCUCGAUGUCUAGUUUGAGUGACAGAAACAUGAGGCUAGGGGAUGUGUUGUUGCCACCAAGGAGAAAACAACGGUGCUUGUGAUCGCGGUUGCAAGUAUUGUUUACCUUACGAAUAGUUCGUUAAUGCAAUGUCCGUUUCUUUGAGUUUACACUUUGGGUGGGACUCGCAAAUUAAUACCGACGAGAUGUUCUGGAUAGAUAUCUCUAGGUGGAUGAUUAGUAAGUAGAUGUUGAUGAAUAAACGGUCAAAUUGAUUGGGCGUAUUGCCUAUUACUUUGAGCCUCGGAAUAAUCACUGAGCAUGAUCCUAUCUGUAAUUUGUUUACCUCGCAUAGCUAAUUACCGUUUUUUGGGAGAGAGACAUCACUAGUGAACAUCAUGAGACUCCGGUCCAUAUUUCCACCAUUGCUUACAGUGCUACUAUUUACCGCUUUCAUUCCUUUCCCGUUGCAAUCACCAUUACUAUUCCCGCUUGUGUUUUCAUCCUUUGCAAACUACAAGGCUGGGGAGAUUGACAACCUCUUUGUACUCGUUGGGAGCAAAGUUAUUUGUUGUGUGUGCAGGUCCACAUCUUCUGGUGACCAGGACAGAAUACACCUACUUGUUGAACCUCGGAGUCCUACUGGUUCGAUAGACCUUACAGUCCCUGUGUGUGGGAAACUUGCUGCUGACUACAUCUCAACCUUGCACUUGGCGUAACCAACGAGGGGGCUAGAAGUAUAUACAUUACCUCUUCAUCAAGCAAAGUAUCUGGCGCCGUUACCGGGGACUCCAGUCCUCGAGAUAGGGGAGUUGCACACCAUCAUUUAUCUUUGUUUUCAGUCUUGUUAGUUUGCUUGCUAGUUUUUUCUUUAGAGUCCUAUACCGAAAACCACAAAAAAUUUAGUUGCUUUGUUCUUUCUUUCUACUGAUGCUAUGGGUACCACUGAGAACACCAAGUUGUGUGGCUUCACUAGUCACAACAACAAUGACUUUGUCUGCACUCCUAUUGUUGCUCCCGCCACCACGGCAACGUCCUAUGAGAUUAAACUUGCUUAACUAAACCCGGUUAUGGAACAUCAAUUCUCCGGUGGUGGAGAUGUUGCUGCUUUGCACUUGAAUAAUUUUGUUGAGCUCUGUGACAUGCAAAAGUAUAAAGAAGUAGAUGGUGAUAUUGUUAAACUUAAGCUUUUUCCUUUCUCCUUGAGAGGAGGAGCUAAAGUGUGCCUUCAAUCUUUGCCUAGGAAUAGCAUAGGUUCUUGGGAUAAGUGCAAAGAUGCUUUUAUUGGGAAGUAUUACCCGUCUGCUAAAAUUAUCCAGUUGAGAAGUAACAUUACGAAUUUUAAGCAACUCAAUAAUGAACACGUUUCCCAAGCUUGGGAACUUAUGAAAUCUCUUGUUAAGAAUUGCCCUACUCAUGGUUUGACUACUUGGAUGGUUAUCCAAACUUUCUAUGCAGGAUUGAACUUUACCUCGCGGAAUCUGGUAGACUCGGCCGCGGGAGGAACCUUUAUGUCAACUACACUUGGUGCAGCCACAAAACUAUUGGAUGAAAUGAUGACAAACUAUUCUCAAUGGCACACCGAGAGAGCUCCCACAUGUAGGAAGGUAAACUAUAUUGAGGAGAUUUCCUCCCUUCAUGAUAAGGUUCGCAUGAUCAUGACUUUACUUACUAAGCAAGCUCCUAUUGAUCCUAGUGAUGUUCCUUUGAAUUCUUGGUUGCUCAAUAAAGAGAGAAAGUUGAUGUUAAUUUUAUCUCAAAUAACAAUUUUAAGAAUAAUCUUUAUAGGAGUAAUUUUGGUAGCAAUCCUAGACCGUUUCCAUCCAACUAUGGGAACAACAACACUAAUCCUAGCACCAAGAACCCCACUACUGAAUUAGAGAGCAUCCUUAAGGACUUUAUCACUUCUCAAAAAUCCUUCAACAAGAGUGUAGAAGAGGAAUUAGAAAAAUUAGAUAGUCUCUCUUUGAAGGUGGACAACAUAGCUCGUGAUGUAGAGAUUCUUAAAACUAGAACUUCCCCCUUGAGGAAAGGAAGAUCACACCCAUGAAUGCUAUCCAAGUCCAAAUUAAUGAGAAUAUUAGAAUGCUAGCCAAACUUAAAGAAAGAUGGGCUAGAGAAAAGGAAGAGGAACAUAGAAUUAAGAGCCUUCCUACUCACACUACCCUUUCUACUGUACAUGUUGUUGAGGAUAUCAAAACUUUUAGCACCCAUCACACCCCUAGUCCCAAUGGACCUAUUAAUGGUGAUGCUAAUACCUCAACUUUAGGUUAAGUAGGUCCUUUGAACUUAGAGACUACUCAAAUAGUGAUCUUAGAUGACAUCACUACCACUUUAAUUAAUGGUAGUAAUCCUCAUUUUGACAAUUGUAGUCUUUUCGAAGUCAUCACCUUUGUGGAAAUAAUGGCUAAGGACCCCCACACCAAUACACUUAAUGUUGCCUUCACCGAGCAUAUUACCAAUGCUCUUAUCAAAGAUAGGGAGGAGAAGCUCAAACUUGAGACUUCUAUCACUAGGAAACUAGAAGAUGGUUGGGAUCCUAUGGUUAAGAUCAAAAUGAAUAAUUUCUCUUGCCAUGCUUUGUGUGAUGUUGGAGCUAGUGCCUCCGUUAUGCCCAAAAGAAUGUAUGAUAUGCUUAACUUGAAACCUUAUGAUCCAUGUUCUUUUGGUGUUUGUCUAGUUAAUUCUUCCAUAAAGAAACCUUUAGGGAGAAUUGAUGAUGUGCUUAUUGUUGUCAAUGAUAAUUACAUUCCCCGUUGAUUUUCUUAUUAUGGAUAUUGAGUUUGAUGCCUCAUGUCCAAUUAUUUGACGUCCUUUUCUCCGCACAGUUGGUGAUAUCAUUGAUAUGAAAGAGGGAACCGUUAGAUUCCAAUUUACUCUUAAAAAGGGAAUGGAAAACUUUCCUAGAAAGAAGGUCAAGUUUCCUUAUGGGUCCGUUACACGGGCAAGUUAUUCUAUUGGAAUUGAUAUAACUUGAUCUUUUGCAUUGUGCCUAGCUCAAAGGCAUAAAAGAAAGCGCUUGUUGGGAGGCAACCCAAUUUGUUUUUACUUUCAGUUUUAGUGGUCUUGAUGUUUGUUACUACUGUAGAAACAUCAUUGUAUCUUUAUUUUUAAGCUGUGUGCCAAGUUUUAGUCUCUGAUUAAAAGAGAGUGCAAGAAUUGUGACAUGCUGUCCAGAAACAGAUUCUGUCUACCUGAUAGAAAAAAUCGCCUAAAAUGACGAGAUCAUCGUUUUGAUCUGAAUGUUUUUUAUAGCAUGCUCUAUAUAAUUUUCUUUUUGGCGUCAGUUCUGAGUUUUUUGAAUUGAGUUGCAGAAGUGCCCCGAAACAAUUAUUUACUAUGUUCUGGUCUGUUUUUCCCAGAUUCUGCCCUGCUUUGCAUUUUCAUUGUUUUGCAAAGCUUAAGCUUGCUUUUUUAUUUGCAGAAACCUUUUGGCAAUCUUGAGAAACAGAAACUCAUCAUGAAAAUAUUUAUUUCGAGUAGAGAGUAAAUUAUUUUAUUAAGGAAACUAACCACUCUAAUCAACUUAUGAUGAGUUGCGUAUGAAGGGAGUUUUCAAGUAUGCGAUGGAAGAUGAUGAAAGAAGAUUGAAGAGUGUCAAGCGCUCAAGCUUGGGGAUGCCCCAUGCACCCCCAAGAAAUAUUCAAGGAGACUCAAGCAUCUAAGCUUGGGGAUGCCCCCAUGCAACCCCUUCUCCAUCAACAAUCAUCAGUUCGUCCAUCUCCAUGCUAUAUUUUUAUCGCUUGAUAUGUUAUGUGCUAUGCUUGGAGCGUAUUGAUCUUCACUUUUUAGUUUGUUUUAGUUUUUCUUGUCGUUCAUAACAAGUUGGAUCCUAUCCUUCUUUUCUUGGGAGAGAAGCAUUCUUCACUCCAACAUAGAACACCACAUGAGUUUUCAAGUUUAUCCUUUUUGUGUGUUCUAUAUGUUUCCAUAGCUACUAUCAUGCUUAGCUCUUAGUUUUCAUGCCUAUUCUUUUAAGAGCUAUUUAUUUAUCUAUUUAGAUUUAUUUUGGAUCUAUCUUGAACUAUCUUGUUUAGAGAUUUGGUUUGCUCUAUUUAGUUGUGUGUCUUGCAUGAGUAGGUAAUUAAGGUUGCUAUUUAAGUAUAGUAAUAACAUGCAAUAGUUUUGAGGUAUUGAUUUGAGUAAUGUUUGGACUAUUGGUGCUGAGAGCUUGAGCCUAUUAGUGAUAGGUGUUGUAUUUUGGGAAAUCUGUGUGUUUUUCAAAAAUUUAAAAUUAGUUGAGAACUCUAGCUAUUAAACUGAUCGCUAACCUCUGGAGGGGUUGGAAUAUAUAGAGUACCCUCGCGUUACCACGGGUCGAGGAUGCGCAAGGAUAACCAAACCCCCAAACACUCCUCCUCGGGGUGCUUGUCUCUUUGUGUAUUUUCUGACUAGAUAGAGACUUGCCGAUAAUAAGUGUAUGAUUUCUUCGAAACUAAUGUGAGUAUACGAUUAUUGGCACUUCGACCAUCCAUAUUUUGCUAGCCUCUUCGGUACCGUGCAUUGCCCUUUCUCAUCUUGAGAGUUGGUGCAAACUCCGCCGAUGCAUCCAAACCCAUGACAUGAUACGCUCUGUCAUGCAUAAGCCUCAUUAUAUCUUUCCUCAAAACAUCCACCAUACCUACCUAUUAAGGCAUUUCCAUAGCCUUUUCGAGACACAUUGCCAUGCAACAUCCAUCAUCUCAUGACUUGAUCUUCAUGUCAUACAUGCUUUUGCUUGGUCGAGGAGCCUGAUGUUAGUUGGGCUUUGCCCUUAUUAUUAUUUUUGCUACAUGACGCGCUAGUAUCAUUGCAUAUCCUGCCACAGUGGCAGAAGCAUACAUUUGCAUACAUCAUGAUAGUUAUCAUUGUUCUUUAUGUUGAGUACUUCCUAUAAAGUGUGAAGAUUUUUCUUGCUACUCUUGUAAAAAAAUAGAGUGUUGCCCUUAAGUGAGGAAAAGAUCCCAAAGUGGACAAAAUUAAAAGAUCCCAAAGAGGACAAAUGAGAGGUAAAUAGACAGAGCCAAAGAGGCCACAAAAAUAAAAAUAAAAAGAGAACAGGAAAAAAAGAGAGAAGGGGCAACACUACUAUUCCUUUUUGAAAGAUCCAGACUCGUACUCCAUUGUUAUAUUAGUAUUACAUACAGAUUAUCAUUCAUGCAUAACUAUGUGGGGGCCUUUACACCAUAGAACUUGGUUUGCACAUUCCAAUGAUGAGCCUCCUCAAAUGAGCUCUAGGUCUUCAUGAGCAAAUAAGUUGGAUGCACCCCCACUAGUUCCAUUGGAGAGCUUACCAUAGCUCAUAUGUGCAUCCGUUGCAUGCAAUCCCUACUCCUCACAUCAUAUCUAUCAUUUGGUUUUCUCUCACCUAUGAUUGUCCUCAUUGAUGUGAGACUUUCACAUUCCAUUUGUUUUACUUCCCCAUUAUUAUUCUAUUUGCCAUCCUAAGUGCCAAUAUAUCUUGCUUACGCUCAUCUAUUGCAUGAGUGCUCAAAUUUGAAAGGGAGGGGAUCAUUUCGACUUGCACCAGACUAGUGAUCUAGGGAUGAGUCAAAAUAAGAUUUCAAAGGAGACCAAGUGUGAAAUUUUAAUAGAUUGAGUUCUCAAUUAAAAAAUAUUUUUACUCUCAACCCAUCUCCCACUUCUUGCACGCAAACACCAUUUCAAGACAUUCGAGUCAUGGACAGCGAGAGCUCUUGCACCAUUAUGUUCUUACUUUGCUAACUUCAAUACUAGAUAUAGACUCUUGCUUGUUAUUGUCUUCACUUGAAUUGCAUAUCUUGCUUGCUUUACUUUGUAGUUCUUAUAUGUGACAUAGCAUGUCACUGCAGAAAUAAUUUCUGUUAUCAUUUACCUACUCGAGGACGAGCAGGAAUUAAGCUUGGGGGUGUUGCUACGUCCCUAACGUAUCUAUAAUUUCUGCUUGUUCCAUGAUCUUUUGGCUGACAUUGUUAUAUGUUUUGCAACGCUUUUAUGUCAUUUUUCACAUAUUUGGACUAACCUAAUAACUUAGUGCAUUCAGUGCCAGAUUUUGUCUGCUGAUAUCUUUUUUGCACGGGCUUUUACCCAAUCUUCCGAAGCCCAAAAAAUGCCAGAAAAAAUAUAUAAAAAUCAGCAUGACGGGAGCUCAAAAAUCAACGAAGAUGGGCCAGAAGGAGUCCAAGGGCCACCCAGGCGAUCACCUGGCGCGCGUGGCCCCUCGCCGCACCAGCAGGCCGCCUUGGUGGGUCCCACCUCCUCCGAUGCCCUCCUUUGGCCUAUAUUUACUCCUCCGCAAGGAAACCCUUCCAUCACAUCCAGAAUCGUGAAUUCCUCCACCGUUCCGCCGCCGCAGCACUUUUGACAUCGGGAGCGGCAGGAGACCUCUUCCCGGCACCCUGGCGGAGGGAGGAUUGAUCUCCGGGAGCUUCUCCACCACCAUGGACGCUUCUCGAACGUGCCGUGAAUAGUCCUCCUUGGACCAUGAGUCCAUGACCAGUAGCUAUGUGAUGUCUUCUCUCCAGUCUUGUGCUUCAAUGGUUAGUCCUUGUGAGCUGCCCUACAUGAUCAAGGCAUAUAUGUAAUCCUCUUGCUAUUGCUAUGUUGAGUUUGAUGGGAUCCGAUGGAUUAUGCGAUUAUGUUCAGAUUAUUGUGAGUUAUAUAUUUGGUUAUCCUUUUAUAUUAUGUUCUUAGUGAUUCAUGCAUGUUCUCCGUUACCGUUUAUUACUUUGGCCGAGUAGUAGAUUGUAACUCCAAGAGGGAGCGUUAUGCAUGGUUGUGGGUUCAUGUCCCUCCAUGUCUAGCUUGAGUGACAGAAACAUAAGACUAGGGCAUGUGUUGUUGCCACCAAGGAGAAAACAACGGUGCUUAUUACCGCGUUGCAAGUAUUGUUUACCUUACACAUAGUAUGUUAAUGCAAUUGUCUGUUGCUUUGAGUUUACACUUUGGGUGGGACUCGCAACUUAAUACCGGCGAGAUGUUCUGGAUAGAUAUCUCUAGGUGGAUGAUUAGUAAGUAGAUGCUGAUGAAUAAACGGUCUACUUGUCUUGGUAUAUUGCCUAUUACUUUGGGCCUCAGAAUAAUCAAUGAGCAUGAUUAGCAUCGCGGUGCGUUUAUAAUUCUUUCAAUUUCCUAUUUGUAAUUUUUUUAUCUCGCAUAGCUAUUUACCGCCUUUUGAGAGAGAGACAUCACUAGUGAACAACAUGAGACUCCAGUCCAUAUUUCCACCAUUACUUACACGCUACUAUUUACCGCUUUAUUUCCUUUCCCGUUGCAAUCACCAUUACUAUUCCCGCUUGUGUUUUGAUCCUUUGAAAACUACAAGGCCGGAUAGAUUGACAACCUCCAUGUACUCGUUGGGAGCAAAGUUGUUUGUUGUGUGUGCAGGUCCACGUCUUCAGGUGACGAGGACAGAAGACACCUACUUGUUGAACCUCGGAGUCCUAUUGGUUCGAUAAACCUUACAGUCCCUGUGUUAGGGAAACUUGCUGCAGACUACAUCUCAAUCUUACACUUGGGGUAACCAACAAGGGGGCGAGAAGUAUAUACAUUACCUCGUCAUCACUCGUCGGCGGGUGCACCCGAGUGGGGGAACGCCGACAUCGAGCGUGGCCGAAUGGCCAUAGUGCCUCUUUUGUUCCUGUCUUUUCGGGAGGAAGGAGACCAGGGGAGGAGGAAGAGGAGAUAAGACGGGCCCCACCCGGUGAAAAGUCAACCUGGGCCCCCUGUCAGGUUAAGUGGAAGCGUAUUUUGUAAAGUAUGCUCUCGGUUAACCGAGAGCGUAUUUCUGAAAGUACGCCUUCUGUUUGAGCCUAGCCGGCCGAACCCUUUAUAUUGCGAACGUUCUUUAGUUAAGAGUAGAAAUGGAUAAGUUUUUUAUUUGAUUUCUCUCUAACGAAUGAACAUUCGUAUCUUCGCGACUCUAACACCGAUUGAGGUAAAACCAACGCCCACUCCUUCGUCUUUUCGAGCCGGUCAUGUUGGUACCAUUUCCAUACUGUUUUCACAUAAUGGUAAUUGACCAUUUUGCCCUGGCCCUCCGAUUGAGCCCUUCGAGAAGGAAACUUCUCCCGCAAAUCUUUCCAGUGUUUUAUCGCGCUUCUUCCCGGUGUAUCCAUCGACCCCUAGGCAAGCUAAACUCUCAUCAUGAGAUCCGAACUUGCGUGAUGACUUUGCUUGCACCCUGUGUGCU